UAUAUUAUGUCAACAUAACCAUAUAUUACAGUACCUCUUUUUUGCGAUAGCACUGUGGAUUGACCUCAAAAGAUGCUUGUAAUUGUAAUCCUAAAUGGCAAAAAACAUCCUCAUUAUUUUUCUUCACUGUAGGAUUUCUUGCGUUGCAUUUUCGUCUCUUGCAUUUUCAUCCAAAACCUAUCUGACUUUUCCUUCGCCGCAAUUGUCAAUGUUCAAUGGCAAUUGUUCAACUUUUAGGCCAUUGGAUUCAACUAUUUCAUUGACUUCUUCAUUUUCACUUUCCAUGCCUCUAUGUUCACCUAAUCCACCUCUUACGACCUUUAAGUUUCGAACAAGGUUUUGGCCAUAUACAUUACAACAGUCAGUUCGGAACAUAUCCUAUGACCUUUAGUCCACGCUUUGUGCAUUUCAAAUACUGUCUCCACUCUCUAUUUAAAAGUUUAUUAUUUCCUCCUUUCUCCAAAUAUCUUUUACGACCACCAUUAGAACAACCUUUGAUUUGUUUCUCAUAUAGUGUAACCUACACCAAAAAUUUAUAAUAAACAAUCAUCAUACAUCAUUUCAACCAUUAUUAUUCUAAACAAUACUAUUCUUUUACACAGACCUUUUCUGCACCAAUGCCUCUUUGCUUGUGCAUCUACUUAAUGAAUCUUGUUAACUUAGUCCCAUUCCACUUUAUUAGAAGACAAGGCAAGAGGUUUCUUUCAAUAUUCCAAUUAGCAACAUAAUUGAUGCACAAUAUCGGCAUAAACUUAUAAUAAUCAAAACUAAUAUACUAAUAAAGAUUAAAUCUCAUACAAAUUAACCAUAAUUAUGCCAACACCCUAGUAUAAGUUGUUAUAGGAGAACAUCUUUAAUAUAGCAAAAACACCCUUACCAUAUGUAUCACACAAAUUUCAAACCAAUGGUAUGUGGACAAAGUCUUAAACCUUAUCUUCUUCAGUAAAUAGAUAAAUAUCAUUCCAAGCACAUGAACCAUUCAAUAAUGAAUUAUCCAGCAACCUAACCCCAAUAAUCGAUACCCAAGACUUUACCUAAAGGUAUAGCAAACAACUAUUUAUAUAUGCCAGCUUCUCUUGCUUUUAUCUUCUUAUGCCUUACAUUAGCUUACCAAAGCAAAGGGUCGCCUAAUUUCUUGCACUGAUAGUUUCUACAUUCUUGACAGAUAUUAGUGAGGAGGAACUUAUAUGAACGCCACUAUUCAGACAUAACAAUGAGCACAGUACAAAGAGAGUGAACUUUACUUUGAAUUCAUCAUCAGCACGUGUUGAUUUGCAUAGGAUAUCCUCCAACUUCUUUAUAUGCAUAUCCCUAAAUGUUACUUCAAACCUUUUUAAAUAUCCACCAACUUCUUGCAUGUCUCCCUUUGCCUCGACAUUCAAUCCUCUAUCUACAAUACCCAUUAUAUACCCAAAACUCAGUGGUCUAGGCUCCAACUCCUUACCAUGAACAAUGAAGACUGACCGUGUCGUAUCAACCCUAUCUACUAACCACUUACAUCAUUUCUGUUGAAGCCAAGUACACUUCAUCUCAAUUAAUUUACCAAAUCCAAUAGAGCACACGCCCAUUCCUUUUUCGGCCAUCAACUUAGAUGCAACUAAUGCAAAUCAAGCUGGCGCACUUUCUCUCUCUUCAACAGUCCUCCUUUCAAAAUAUACUUGCAUUUUUGUUUUGCUUCAAGCGGCAUAUUUUUAAACGUACUUCCUAUUUUCUUCCUCACCUGCAUAUUUACAAAGAAAUAAAUAAAUAAAUAAAUCAACCAGUAAACAAACUUUCUCAAAUAACUAAUUUCAAUUUUCACCUAUAGCAGUUAACUUUUCUAAACAUUGCACUAAACCAAUCCUUUUAGACUCCAACUCAUCUCUUUCAUGAUACAAGCACUACCAUCGUUUAAUUUAUCUUUCGUACUUCUUCUCCACUAUAUUCAUCAAAAACAACAUGCUGUCAAAUGCCAUUAACAUAAGGACUUUACCAUCCAAUUUAUUUUUUUACCAGGCUUAUUUGUUCUGUUAUGCUUUUCUACAAAUGUAGUUGGAUCAAAACAUGAAAAGAAAAAUAUCUUACCAUAAAUGUUAUAAGUUGUAACUUGAUAAUAUGCAUGCGAAUCAGUAAUUGAGCCAACAUGACUUAAGAAUGAUGCAUAUUUAUGGCUGUAAUGAUAAUAUUAUUAUUUAAUGGAAUCAUCUUAAUGAAAAAAAUGUUGCAAAUUUGAAUGAGUAUACAGAACAAAUUGAAUAAAAGUGUGCAAUAAAAGAGUGUUCGCAGUACAUUCCUGGUUGCAUAUGCCCCCACCAUUUGUUUUCUUAAUUCUUCAUGUUUUCCUUUUUAACUAAUUUUCAGGACAUCACUAAAUCAUCAUACAUUUGAUACCUCACUGUAUAUUAUAUUAUACUAAAUUAAAACAAAAGUAACAACAAAUAAGAUACUUACUAUUGUUUUGGCCCAUAGUUAUUACUUACUAUUGUUUCUCUACUUGCCAUUCCCACCCCCCACCCCCCCCCCCCCCCCAAUCUUCCCCUUCAUCACCUUCCACACAUAGAGUCUUACGUUUUCUAUCUGUUGAGCUCAUCAUUUUGGAGACCUCUGUAUCACAUGUAACUACUUCUAUUUUCUUUCUCAUUUCUUCCUAAAUGCAUCUCAUUUCCCCUAUCCAACAAACUACAUGUUAAUAAAAGAACAUUAAAUUCAGUGAUAGUCAAAUACUCAAACCAAAUGGAGUAACUAAAGAAAGUUGACAAUAGAUGCCUAAAUACUAUUAUAAAUCUCCUUGAAAUCACAAAUGUCCACAACUUAAACUAUGACAACUGUAUGUUGUCUAUAUCAUCUAAAAUUGCAAAACUAGCUUUGUUCAAGCCUUUUUUCACUUCAAAUGCUUAUUCUAUAUAAAUGCAUACUUUCAGAAAGGAUUUUGCUAUAUAACUCAUUCAAGAACCAAAACUUUACCCAAUGUAAGAGUAGUUCUGUUUACAAGCCCAAUCACAGUAUCUCUGUAACGACCCGCCCCGACCUCUACAGGGCAUAUCUUACUGAUAGGUGCUUAAAAAAAAAUAAAAAUAAUAAUCAUUUUACAAUCUAUGAAAAUUAUAUCCUCAAAAAUACAAAUAUAUAACGCAAACUGCAGCGGAAGAAUUUAAAAUUCAUGUCAAACCAUCUAAUUCCUCCAUUCAAGUCCUUCUCGACGCUUAUCACGAAUCAAUCCUGAUUUACGGAAACUGAAUCACAAUAAACUAUAAUGAGUACAAAACUCAGUAAGUAAACCAGUUUUCCAUAUACCAAAAUACAUACAUACAUAUAUAUAGUGCAAAUGAAUGACGUGCCAUGGUAUUCGAAAACAUCGUAAAACAAAUCAUCGAAAUCUCAUUCUGUCUUUCUCAAACUUUUACAUUCUCUUUCAAACCACUUACUUGAGCUACCUUCAUUCGAUUACCGCUUAGUAGGACACUCCCUUAACUUUCAUAACUUUCAUACUCUUUGGGCUUCUCGCCAAUGCGUCCUUCGCCCACUUAUCUCAUAAUUAUAUAAACAUCUAGAGUGUCCUCCACUAAGCCAGUAACGAAUUCAAGCAUCCAAGCCAAAAUUGUAAAACAAUCUUUCUUUCUUCAAAUUUCGUUUGCUAAAAUCAACUUUCUUAUUUUACAGAAAACAUAAUGCAUUUUCGUGCUCAUGCCAAUGAAAUAUUCGCACAUACGUAUGCCCAUGUCCAUAAACACACAUAACAACACAUCAUAUCAACACAUCGUAUAAACACAUGGGCAAAGCAUAUAAAUCAAUAUCCGUACAUAUAUAAAAAUAAGCUUUCCAAACAUGUCAAACAUAUAUGUUGUUUAUUGUGAUUCGUUUGGAAAUCUAGUUUACUUACCUCCUGGUAUCCUCGAGUAACAAAUGCACAUCGAUAUCAUCGGCCUAAAAAUAAAUAAAAAUACUCUCAUAAGAAUAAAAUUAAACCAUAAUCAUAAACUCCAAUAUUCUCAAAUUCCUCAAUAUAAUCACAUUCCAUACUUAACCUCAAAUAAUUUUAAUUUAAAUCACAAAUCAUCAAAAUACUCAUAAUUCUUGAAAUUACGAAAUUACCCUCAAAUACCAAAAUUACCAAAUGCCCUUGAAUUCAAUAUUACCAAAAUACCCUCAAAUAUCAUUAUUUCCAAAUUAACCUCAAAAUCAUAAAUUACCAACUUUAUCCUCAAUUUCAACAAUUACUAAAAUACCCACAAAAUCUGAAAUUACAUAAUUGCCCUUAGACCGUGAAAUUACCGAAAUACCCUUGCCGGUCAACUGUCACCAGAAUUCAACCGACGGCAACGGGAAGCUCAGAACUGAAAGUUCAAGCCACGCUGAGUCCAAUGGUGGCGGUGGUGACCUCCCACGCGCGGUGAUGGCUCCGGAUCGAGCUCCCAAAGUCGUGAAUCCUUCAACGGCCGAUCAACGGCAAAACGACGUCCCCGGCGUCAGUGGUUAGUCGGAAAUGGCAGAGGGAAAGGUAAGGAACAAAACCCAAGUGAUGGCUUCACCGGAAACCGGCGAAAUCACGGCGAAUCGAGGCGGCGAUUCCGCGGAACUUCAAAGCUUCGAUCGGUGGCUUUCCGAUCGAUUUCCGGCGGCAAGGACAAAAUGGAUACGUUGCUCAUCUCUCAAGCUUCAAAUCGGUACCAACCUUGACCGGAACGGUGGCCGGAAAUGGGAGAACCGGCCGGGUCGCGCUCGCGGGUCGGGUUGGAUCCAGUUCGGUUUCUCCUCUCUCUCUUCUCUUCUCUCUUUCCUUUCUCUCUCUCUCUCUCUCUCAAUUUAUAAGGGUGGUCAACACUCAACAGGGUCAAAAUCGGGUGUGGGGUAUUACAAUCUCUCCAUAAACCCAAAAAAAAAACAAAUAAACAGACAGGUGUCUAUUGUAAUUAGCUAUACUACAAGUAAAAAAGUGUCCUAUAUAUAACAUAUCAGGAAUACAAAUAAUUAUAGGAAUUAACAAUCCAAGCUAGAAUAUUAAGACCUUACCCACUGCAAUCAGUAUAAAAGUUGAGGCUGUUAUUUGAUAAUUGUUGAAAAACUAUUUGAAACGAAAAUGAAAAAUAGAAUUUAUACUUCUAAAUAUAAAAAAUGCUAUGGUUAAUGUUUUUAAAAUUCAGUAUUUUCAAGGAAAACCCCAAUGAAAAUGCAUGAGUAUGCAAUUUUUCCCUCCCAAAUCUUGUAGUUUAAAAACAUAUAAAACAACACGUUUUUACUUUCACAAUAGUUGUUACAAAAAGAAAUUUAUGAAUUUUGUACUUUCCUACACAUAAUAGCUUCAAUUUUGCUAAUAAAAAAACAUAAAAAUAAUUAUUACUUAAAAAAAACACAGCAAUUGGGCGUAGAACUAGAAUCGAAACCCUAAAAAUUUAUUUUUCUCUUAAGAAUCUGAGCAGCCAAGAACUCAACUUCGAAAUCGAUCAGCAAAGACUAGAGAUUGGAUAGAAAUGGUGACCUCCCAAGCAGUGUUGGUUCGCUGAAACUGAACAACCACUAAUUCGUUGCUACCCAGUUAUAUGGUUCGAUCUUGUCAUUCAAGAAGUGAACAGCUUGCGGCACUUUGAUUUGCAAGUCCAUCAACAUCAAAUAAAGCAUAGCUUGCAGAAAAUUUAAUGGUGGAUUUUGAGUAGGAUGGACGUUGGAUGAGAUGCAGCUUUGGCUUAUCUUGGUGGUGGAUUUUCAAUAGAAUGCUAGUUGGAGGGGAUGCAACUUUGGCUUUUCUUCCUGAAUUUUUUGAGUUUUUUUAUUUUUAUUUUAAGAUGUGGGGGAUUUAAUUGUGAAACAAGGUUGUUUAGUCUAUUGCAACCAAUUGUAAUAGUCAAUCUUUUGGGUUGACUUUUCCAAUCACCCAUAUGCAACCUUUUCAGCCAGUUAUAUUUUCUUUCAAUUUUGUCCAUAUGCCACAUUUUUAUUAGUUAAUUUGACACAACCCUCCCCAACCUACAUGUCUGAUUUGAGGCGAAUCGUGUGGACUAUAACUAAAACUUGCAGCACAAAUUUAAUUCAUGAAAAUAUGUAUAUAAUAUGGUCUUUCCUAUAAACACAUAACAACUUCUGUGCCUUUUCUAAAACCAUAUAUGAAUUCAAAUUUGCAUAACUUAUGUCUCAUUGUACAUACUGACAUUAUAUGAAUAUUUACAUAUAAAACAUAAGCAACAUAAACGUGCUCAAAAUGCAAGACAUGCAGCAAUGCGUCUCAUGACCCAACCUCAAUUAACUAGAAUUGAUCUGCACGAAAUCCUGAGAGAAAGUGGGUAAAUAGAAAAAUAGUGAGCUUGUCGACAAUUGUGGAAUCUUGGUUAAGUUUUUACUGAGUUUUUGUUGUAGAAACUAACUGUUGCUAACAUUUUGUGUUGAAGAUGGCUGAAUAUGGAGUGUAGUUACUCUAGAAACGCAUCUUCAUCGUUUAAAAAAAAAAAAAACUCGUUUUCUUCCUCUUUCUCCUUUAUAAAUAUAUAUUUUCAAAUUUUUGAGUCGAAGAUGGCUGAAUAUGGAGUGUAGUGCCUCUAGAAACGCAUCUUCUUAGUUAAAAAAAAAAAAUUUUUUUUCUAAUUAAUUUUUCUACAUCAUUUUCACAUUUCUGCAUGCAUAUUUUCAUUUCAUGUUUAGAAUAGGUUGGGGGGUAGAAUGUUGUUUUAAAAAAAAAAUUGUGUUAUUUGUUUUAACAUUGGAUGACAUGAUUAAUUUCAAAUUUUAGUAUUUGUAUUAUCUUUGGUCUUAAGUGAUGUUACGCUAUGUUUCCUACUUUACAUGUUGAUGUCGGAGACAAAUAUGAGUUGCUUGAAGGAAUGAACAUGUCACAAAUAAGUGCCAAGUGAGUUGUUGAGCCUAUCAUUUUCUUGGAGAGUAACCCUUUUGCCCAUUCUCUAUACAGCUUAGCAGUUUAUUAUUUUAUACACGAUCUCUAGAUUUCUUUUGAGUUAACCCUUUAAAAAAAAAUGGUAAAAUUAAAAAAAAAAAGAAAAAAAAAAGAGUGUGUUGCUACAUUUGGAGGCCCAUCUAACUAGUAGAUAUGGAAGAUUAUUUAGAGCCCUAAAAGACGAUGGAAAUGUCAUCUUUGAUCCGUUUAAGCCUUUCUAGCCAUCCCUUUUAUCAAAUAUCCAUAGUUAACCCUUUUGAGCCUUUAAAAAAAAAAAAAAAAAAAACCUUUUUCUUUGUCAACUUAUCAUCUUGACCCACUCUGAUUUAGAGUAUUACCCAAUGUCUUAUAAGUUUCAUCACCUAUUUAUGUUUGAGAAAAUGUAAAUAAUUAUGUUGUUCAGUAAAGUUAUGCCAAAAAAAAAAAAAAAACAAAAGUUGUUGUUUCAAAAGAAAAAAAAUUAAAAUAAUAGGUGAAAUCCACCUUGCAACUUCCAAAAAAAAAUUCUUUGCAUUUUUCUCAAACAUACACUUUGUUUUCCUUAUUUUCCUUCUUUGUUAGCCAUGUCCCUAGCCUACGUUACGUCCUAAUAAAAGUCCUUCUUGAUUUUAGGGAACUAUAGUUUGAAGUAGAAGUUAGUUAUAUGGGCUAAAAAGAUGUAGUAAUGCAUAAUAAAAAAAAAGAAAAAAAAAAGAUAAAUAAAGUGGGUUGACUAACAUUUUAUUUGACUUGAGAUCGUAUUAUUUCUAAGCUGAGGGCAUAUUUAUUUCAUCUUGGUGAGAGCAUGUGAUAUCAUUUCUUUAUUAUUUUCUCUCUCAAUUACCAUUCAUUGGAGUGACUAUGUUUAUUGGGUUUUAAUUUCUUUGUGAGAGUGUCACUACUUCCAGUGAGAUUUUGGGGUUUGACAUGUCAUUCUUGAAAGUAGCUAUAACAAAGUCUACUGGGCUAAUUCAUGUGGAUGGUUGAUGUGGGUGUGAUGUUGCUUUAGACUGGAGAUAAUACUUAUACUUUUAUUUGAUUGCUAUCAUUAAUCUAAUUGAAUAAACACGAGUGUUUCUAAAAAAAAAAAAAAAAUCAUUUUGAAUUUGAAUUUUGUUUUCGCUUUAUUUGCUAGGGACUAGCAAUAAGCUAGUUGGGGGGUGUGUUGAGUGUUAGAAAAUGCAUAUUUAUAAAGAAAAAAACCAUCAUUUUACAUUUCAAGUCUUACUAACAACUCUUACUUUUAUGUAUUUAACCUUCUUGUGAUGUAAUUACGUGUGUGUUAUUUUAAUUCAGUAUUUUAUGUAUUUUAGGGGCCUUAUAGUCAUUUCACAAUAAAGGAGAGAUCAGACGGCAAAACGGACAUCACUUUUGAACUCAGGACGAUCGAAAACCUUAGGAGGAGCAUAAAAAGAAAAAUGGCACUAUUCACAUCAUAUCAGUGGACGAAAAAUCUCGCGUACGGUGCAUGCAUCACACAGGAUUAUUUUCAACCAAACCGCGUUACUGUUCAUCCGGGUCAAACCGUGUUACUGUUCAUCCGCGUGGUCAAACCGUGGAUUGUUGACUGAUGACGUGGCGCAAUCCUGAGCUUCCAAACUGUUUUUAAUCCGAUGGCCAUGAUUUACUCCAUGUAUCUAUAAAAAGGGGGCCUCCCCCCCUAAUUUGAUAUCUCUGAAUCCAUUCAGAUGAUUAUAUGGGUCCUCAUUUUCUAGGCCAUAGAAUGUGGGGAGACAAUUUAGCACACUAGGUUUUAAUUCAAAACUCCUAGCAGCUACAUUUGGAUAUCUUAUGCAUGAUGUGCUCAAAUUAGCUAAGGGACUAAAAUAGUCCUUAAAUGGCCUCUCCUGUGGUGCUUGUAAAUCCAUUCCAAAUUUAUUUUUAAUGUGCUUUUGUGUGCGAAGUGUUUUUUCUAAUUCAAGGUCUAUAGGUUUAAGAUUAGGUAAUAAUGACCUACGACCAUGCAUGCAAAAUAAAUAAAAUAAAAAUAAAGAUGGAACAAAACAAAUAAAAAUAAAGAAGAGAGAGAAAUUACAAUACUAACCUUAUUGCGCUAUUACAACCUUACUAUAAAAAUACACAAAAACAAAUACGUGAAAUAAAUUAACUAAAAAUAAAUUAAUAAAAUAAACAAAAAUUACAAAGAAAAAAUAAAUUGAAAAUUAAAUUACAGAAUUUUAUAGAAGAGAAAAAGAAAAGAAAUACUAACCUUUAAAUGUAGAUUUACUUUUUUUUUCUUUUUUCUUUUUUAAUAAAAAAAAAUACAAGAAAACAAAUAAAAGAAAUUAUUCACAAAAAUUAAUUCUAUGAAUUAAAAUUACUUACCUCCCCGGCAACGGCACCAAAAACUUGUUGUGCAAAUUUUAAUGUACUCGCAAGUGCACGAAUCUAUUGUAGUAUAGAUCAAUGGUGACGAGUGUCGAUCCCACGAGGAGGUGGAUUUUAAUUGUGUGUAGAAUUGAUUUUGUAAAUGGGGGAUUGGAUUUGUGGUGGAAAUGAUUUGGAAUAUGCUAAAACUUAAAUUAAAAUGGCGAGAAUAAAUUCUAAAAUUGGAAUUGAAAUGGCGAGAAUAAAUUGAAGAGAAUUCUAUUGAAAUGACGUACUUGAGUAUCUGGAUCCGUAUCAACAUGCAUCAUGGGCUAAAUAUUCCUUAUUAAUACCAAUUAAAUCAUGAGGGGGGAAUCAACACCUCAUGAACCACGCUCUAAUCAAUAUGGUGCUAAGGGCUUAUCGUGCCAAAUAAUAAUAACCUUAUACUAGAGAGCCGGUGUAACCAAUGCGGUAUCUAGACAAGAUCAGUAUUAUUUGUCGACGAUAAGUCAAAUCAUCCACAAAAACUAGAGGGGAAAAGAAAAUAAAUUUACCAAAUAAAGCCCAUGACACAUGUUGAGACUUCACCUUCAACCCAAGCUUGAAAGGAAAUUAGCUACUCAUAAUUUAACUAGGGGCAAAAUGGAAAUUUAUUAAAAUACAAAGAAAAUACAAGAUGGAGAAGGAAUUACAGAAAAUGGAUCCCAAAAAUGGAUUCAGAGAUAUCAAAUUAGGGGGGGGAGGCCCCCUUUUUAUAGAUACAUGGAGUAAAUCAUGGUCAUCGGAUUAAAAACAGUUUGGACGCUCAGGAUUGCGCCACGUCAUCAGUCAACAGUCCACGGUUUGACCACGCGGAUGAACAGUAACACGGUUUGACCCGGAUGAACAGUAACACGGUUUGGUUGAAAAUAAUCCUGUGUGAUGCAUGCACCGUACGCGAGAUUUUUCGUCCACUGAUAUGAUGUGAAUAGUGCCAUUUUUUCUUUUUAUGCUCCUCCUAAGGUUUUCGAUCGUCCUGAGUUUAAAAGUGAUGUCCGUUUUGCCGUCUGAUCUCUCCUUUAUUGUGAAAUGACUAUAAGGCCCCUAAAAUACAUAAAAUACUGAAUUAAAAUAACACACACGUAAUUACAUCACAAGAAGGUUAAAUACAUAAAAGUAAGAGUUGUUAGUAAGACUUGAAAUGUAAAAUGAUGGUUUUCUCCUUUAUAAAUAUGCAUUUUCUAACACUCAACACUUGCGGCUCAGUGAGUGGAUAUAAUAUUAUAUUAAAAAUAUUAACAGUAAUAAUUAUAAUAAAGUAUGUGUACUAGUGCUUAUAUAUAAUCAUGUAACAUAACUCCACAUUGAAUACCACACAUCAGCAAACAUGAAAUUCAUACAUACAUACAUCACAAACUGCACCAAAUAGUAUCCAGGGGAAAUAACUCUCAAUACUCGUUGAGAUCAUCAUCGCAUGAUUAGAGUGAGGGAAAAACCUCUUAAUACCCGGCGGAAUUUAGCUACAUCGCUCGGAUAGAAUAACCUAACUCUCAAUACGCAUGCGCAGAGUCUACGGGGACGGGUACAUAUAUGGUGGCUAGCAAUCACAUCUCAUGACUCAAUUAAACAUAUAAUAUGCGUACAUGUAAUUCAUAACACGAUAUUAAAUCAAAAUAUCAAACAUAAAUGCUUCACAGAAUACAUAAUAGUAAUAAUAGUAUCCACUCACAGAUCUUGUUUCACUCUGGGGUUCGUUGGGGCUCUUGUAGGUUCCUGAAUUCUCGAGUUCCUCCUAAAAUACAGGGUUCAAAAAUUAACUGUUAGAACUUAUAUAAAAACUUAUACGUAUCAUGCAAACUGUAACAUAACUGCUCAAAUUUCAUAAAUCUAUUACCCACUGAUCCAAUGGAUAUAAUUCUAACUAUCCAAUUCUAUUUUCUGUAACUUUUCUUUUCAAUUUCUCUCUUCCCCACUCUCGACUUAUUCCUUUUCCUUCUUCCUUUUCUUUUCUUCUUUUCUUUUUCUUUUCAUUCUCUUUUCUUUCGGUUUCUCUUGUUUUCUUCUCUUUGUUUUGUUCUCGGUUUUCAAAUUUAGUAAAUGAAGCAAUUCUCAAAAUGUUUCACUUUAUAUAGCCACUGACUGGGCCACAGAGUGCAAGCAAGCAGCUUUCACUUUAUUUUAAAUAUAUGUUCACCACCUCAAGCAAAUGGGAGGAACAUGCACGUGCCAAGCAAAGAGGUGAAGCAAGCAGCUUGUAUUGCAUGCAAUGGGCAGCUGGCUACUUAUUUUCCUAAACACGUUUGGCUUCUUUUGUUUUUUUUUUUCAAGUGGUGCAUGGCCAGCGGUGCAUGACAUAAUUAAUCAAAUCACAAGCUAUAAGUUACGAAAACAAUAACUUAGGGAAGCAGCCUCAGCUACCAUGCAGGGCAAAAAAUUCCCCUGUAUGGUACGAGGGCUACCCUUGAGCCGUUGGAUUGAGCUUAUUUGAAUCCAAUGGUUGGAGUUUCAAUUUGAAAACAAGUAAAAGAAAAAAUGAAUAAAAGUAAAAAAAAAAAAAAUAACACAACCAGUUGAAAUUGUAAAGAGAAGAAAAGCAUAUUUCUCCUCCCUCUCUUUCUCCCCCUCUGAAACAUUAAACAAGAAAACCCUCAUUUUUCUCCCUCUCAAUCCCCACACUACUCUCACUCUCACACACUCUCCCACUCCGGCUCACGCUCCCGUUCAUGCUCACGCUCUCGCUCUCAUUGUUGCUAUUGCUCUUACACUCACGGUCUACCUUGCUCUCACUCUCGCUCCUACUCCAGGCUCUCACUUUCACUCUUCUCAUCAAGGUUGCUCAGCAUUAAACUUAGCCUUAUAAUUGUUAAAAUUAUUAGAUUUGUAAUUUAUUGUACUUGAGGAAAUCGAUUGGUUAAUGAUAUAGUGUAAAAAUAUAAUGCACACAUAAUAUUUGGUCAAGAAUGAGCAAAAAGUGACUCAAAAGUGAGGGUCUGUGAAACAUGUAAACUAGGUUUAGAGAUUUGGGAAUUUUGAAAAUAAACAAGGAAAUGAUGUUUUCGGAGUGAAUAUGUGAGGUUUAAUAAAUGAAAAAUGGUUAUAGAGACUUGCUUUGGCAAGAAAUUGAGCUGAAAAUGAAGAAUUUUAGAGAUAGAAGAAAUGGAAAUGAAACAGUGUAGAGAGAGAGAGAGAGAACGAGUGACAGAUGAUGAACAAGCCCCAUAAUAAAUGAAGUCGGCUAGCCGCUUGAACUAAGCGGUUAACCGCUUCAGUUCCAGAAACUAAGUGGUCAGCCGCUUACUUCAAACGACUAGCCGCUAACUUAAUGCGGCUAGCCGCUAAGUUUCUGGAACUAAAUACUGAAUAGUCACUUAAAGAAAGCAAUUAGCUUGUUCCACUAAAAUUUGGAUUUUUUUUGUUUUUUGACCAAAAUUUGAUCAAUUCCAAGACCAUUUUGUGAUUCUGAAAAUUUUCAAAUGCCAUUUUUUGUGCAUGAGACAUGAUGAUGAACAUCCAAAAACAAAAAUUUAAGCAUAUAACAUACUAAACUCAAGUAUAUAUCACAUAAUCAUCAAAGAUAAGAAAUCAAACAAGUUAAGGUGAAUAUAAAUUCCAUAUCAUGAGUGUAUAAAUAAAAUAGUAACACACUAACAAAACCUUCAAUUAAAGCACGACUCUUGCAAAGUCAAAUACAAUUAAUAUUUACAUCUUCUGAUUUGUCAAAUGAAUUGUCACAAAGCCACCAAUUAGAGUGCAUGUUGGGAUAUGGAAGAAAUGUAAAGGUGUCCCAUCCCAGUGAUUGUGACAUUGAUGAAUUAUUCUAAAAACUAGUCAUUGGAUUCUGAGAACACUUGAGAACUAUUCCCACAUUCAUUUUGGGUUUCAAGUUCAUAUCAUGUUUUACUAGUGUUGAAUGAAAAUUGUUCACUUAAGCGAGCUAACUUAGAACUACCAUGGCCAUCAUUGUUACUAACAUUGGCUUCAGUACUUUUGCAAGAAAUUAUUCGUGAAUAAAAUGAAAUUUGCUUGCCAUAAAAACAAGUUACUCUGAACUUGCAAUAUAAAAUUUGAACAUAAACAUGAAAUGGAGGGAGAAAAGAAAAAUUUUGGGGUAUUUGGAAAAUAAUUACAUGAAACAUAGAACAAUACACAUGAGAUAAGUUACUUAAAAUAUGCAACAAUGAAAAUAAAAUAUGAGUACUUCUGUAAUAGUGAACAUAAAACAUUAAACAUGAAACUCGGAACUUGUAACAUGAAACAUGAAAUAUGAACGUAAACAUGAAAUGGGGGGAAAACAAUUUUUCGGGGUAUUUAAAAAAUGAUUACACGAAACAUUGAACAUUAAACAUGAAAUAGGUUACUUAAAAUAUGCAACAAUGUACAUAAAAUAUGAAUACCUCUGUAACAGUUAACAUAAAGCAUCAAACAUGAAACUCGGAACUUGCAACAUGAAACAUGAAUGUAAACAUGAAACGGGGACAAAAAAGAAAAAUUUCGGACUGUUUGGAAGAUAAUUACAUGAAACAUUGAACAAUAAAUAUGAAAUACAUUAUUUAAAAUAUGCAACAAUAAACAUAAAAUAUGAGUACUUUUGUAAUAGUGAACAUAAAACAUGAAACUUGGAACUUGCAACAGGAAACAUGAACGUAAACAUGAAAUGGGGGCAAAAAAUAAAAAUUUCAGAGUGUUUGAAAAAUAUUUACAUGAAAUAUUGAACAAUAAACAUGAAACAGAUUGCUUGAAAUAUGCAAUAAUGAACAUAAAAUACGAGUACCUCUGUAACAGUGAACAUAAAACAUCAAACAUGAAACUCAAAACUUGCAACAUGAAACAUGAACAUAAAGAUGAAACGAGGGCAAAAAAGAAAAAUUUCAGGGUCUUUAGAAAAUAAUUACAUGAAACAUUGAACAGUAAAUAUAAAACACAUUACUUAAAAUAUGCAACAAUGAACAUAAAAUAUGAGUACUUCUGUGACAGUGAACAUAAAACAUCAAAGAUGAAACUCGAAACUUGAAACAUGAAACAUGAACGUAAACAUGAAAUGGGGGGAAAAAAGAAAAUUUUUGGGGUAUUUAAAAAAUAAUUACAUGAAACAUUGUACAUUAAACAUGAAAAUUAAAAUGUUAAAUAUGAGACAGAGUUCAUAGAAAAUGAAUUAAACUUUUGUCUUUUUGUUAACACUCAUUUUAUUUUGUUUUUCAAAAUAUUUAUAAUAAAAAAUAGUUUUUUCUAUUUUUACUUUACUUGUCUUUUUUUCUUAUUAGUAUUAUUAUUUUUAAAAUAUUUUUUAUUUUAUAAAUUUUUUUAUUUUAAUUUAUUUACAUUAAAAAUACAUAUUAAUUUGCCAGUCAUAAAAGUUGUUUGGUUGCCAACGAAUUGACCCCCUCUUUGAUACAGAGACUUUCAGUGCCUGUAUCAUAGCCACUCCCUAAGUAAGCCAUUUUUUAUUGGUAAUUUUGAAAAAAAAAUUAAUUAAAAAGUAUGGGCUAAUGAGAUAAAAUAAGGAGAAAUUAUAUUUAACCUGAAAUUUCCCAAUCUGGGUGAUAGCUCAUCGCCCAACGAUAGUCGGUCUGCGAUGAACCUUCUGUCGAUUUUAAUUUGAUUUUAGCAAAAAAGUUAAUUUUCAUAAUUUCACUAGACGAAAUUUCAGGCCAAAUAUGAGUGUUGUAAAAUACCCAUAUUUCUCUACAAACUUUAUUCAUUCUCAACAAAUUCUUCUGCUAUCCCAACAAAGGGUGGACUCUACAUAGAAGUUAGUGUGGGCAAUUGAUCCUGCUCAAACAAAAAAAUUCAUUUAUUUUCAUAUUUUUUUCAAAAAAAUUUAUUUAAGUGGGAAGAAAAUUUAUAAAGAAAUUUUAGUAUUCGAUCAAUUUUAUACAUUAUUAAAUUUUAUUAUAGUUUUACUCUCAAUAAAUUAAGUUUCUAAAUACGCCCCGAUCCCAACCCAUGUAACAAAAUCAUGAAACAUUCAAUGUCAGGAUCAAAAUCUUCAUUUUUUCAUUUUAUCAAAGACCGAUAGUGCCUUCCUUUGUGUCUUGACUUACUCAAAGUAUAAAAUCCAACAAUUCUUCAGUCCAAACUUUCCCAUAUUUCUUAAAAGCAUAUGUUUUCCACGAAAUCAAACCAUAUGGCCAUGUUUGGAUGUUAGGAUUUUAAGUAUGGGGUUGGACUAAUUUUGGGAUUAAAUAUUUAUCCAAUGUUUGGCAAGCUUAGUUGGAUUGGAUUAAGGGGGACUAAAUUUGAAUUUAAUCCUAAAAUCAUGUGAUUAAUUUGCACAUAGUUCUAGUUGGGAUAAGAUUAAAGAAAAAAGUUGUCCAUUUAUGAGAUUUUUAUUUAUAUUAUUUUUUUAUUUACACCUAGUAUUAAUUAAUUAAUUAAUUAUUUUUUAUUAUGAUUUAUUUAAAACUUAUUUUUAUUUAUCAUCUAUGAUCUAAUUAAAUUGAUACUUUUACUUAUACUAACUCUUGAGAUUGAAUUUUCACUACUUGCAUAUUUAAUAAUUUAUCGAUAAAAUUAAAUGUUUAAUUAUUUAUUGCAUUAUUUGAUUGUAUUAAAUUUAAUAAUCACUAAUAUAAUAUUAAAAAUAAUCAUGAAAAUUAAUAAUACCAUUAAUUAAUUGAUUUUAUAUAAUAUUUUUAAAUAUUUGAUAAAAAUUAAUUAAAUAUUUAAUUUGUUUUAUCUAUGUUUAUUUGUUUACUGUAUUAUGACUACCCAAUAACUUAUUUACAAUAUAUUUAAUUUUUCCUAGUAAUUUCUUUUUAAAUUUAUUUUAAUUAUGAUUAUAAAAUUUCAUGAAUAAUUGAAAUUUAUAUUGAAAUACCAAUUUAAAUGCUUUUUAAUAUUAUUUAAAUACAAUUUAACAUAGUUUAAUCCGAUAUUAUACCAAACAUAAGAAUAUAUAAUACAAUCCAGCUUAAUUCAUUCCAAUAUAAUUCAAUCCAAUCUUGCAUGUCAAACGUAACCUAUGUGCCUUGUAAUAUUUUGUUAAGCAAACCUUUUCAGUUAAAAAAUUAUCUUAAUUUUACUCCUUAAUUUGUGUGUUUCAAAGGAAAAUGCCCAUGUGUCUCUUGCACACCAAAAAAUUCAAAAUGAUAAAAAUAAUUUCUUUUUUUAUUUUAAAAAAUGGACUGUUAGAGUAAGAGAAAGAGCAAAGAAAGCUAUAACAGUCUUGAGGCGACAAAAUCUUUGAUCAGCGACUCCCACAUCCGCAUUUAUGAUUUAACCACAUUUUUUUUUCUCUACACAACAUAUUAGAAAUUUUAUAAAAUAUAAAAUUAACAAAAAAAUAAUAACCGUUAAAUUACUUGCAUAUAAAGUAAAAGCGUAAAACAAACUUAGUCACAAAAUUGGCAAAAAUUGAAAUUUGAAGUUUUGACCGUUACGGUUAGGGCCAAGCUUAGGGUUAGGUUUAAGGUUAGGGUGUAAGGUCUUGGCGCGCCAAGCACUAACGGCUCCCGCAUCGUGGCGCUUUAUUUUCCCUAUCAAUUUAGGAAGCUAAUAUCUGAGGAAACUCGAAUUUAAUUAGGAAACCCACUUCUCUCAGGAUUAUUAUAUAUUUGCAUCAUCACUGCCGUGUUCUGUUCUAUGUUCUUCAAUUCGCUAGUUUCCUGUUUUGUUUCUUUGUUCUUCGAAUUUUAGGAAACCCACUUCACUCAGGAAUUAAUAGCAUCCUUUUAUUCGCAUAAUCAUCCUCUGGUCCAAGCACUUGAAAAGCUUUCUGAAGUUGCUGUUCUGUGUUCCUUUUUUUCCUGUUUUAUUUCUCUUUACGUUUGAAUCUUUGAAUUUCUGAAGAAAGAAUUUACAUGGAAGAGAGAAAGAUGAAGUGGCGAUUGAAUGAUGAUGGUGGGUCUUUUGAAAGAAUUUUGAGGGAGGCAGAGGAAGCUGCCAAUGGUGAUGAGUCCUUAAAAAUGAGUUCACUUACGAGGAUCAUUGUUCAACAGCUUGUUGAGAAACAAUUGGCACAAAAGAAGAAAUUUGACAAUCUGGGUUUUGACAUACCGAAAAGAAGAAGAGGUUCUGUUUCUGAAAACUUGCCUAGUAGAAGAAUGCCGUCACUAAUACUUAAAAUAAACAACAAGAAGAUUACUCUGAAGAGGUGCUUCGACCAGACUCAUGACAGAGGCGACAAAGAUGAUGAAAAAGAGAUCAGACAGCCCAGAAAGCAGAGGAAGAAGGGAAACAAGAACGUGAAUCAAGAAGAACGCGUAGUUGCUGAUAUGCCUGAAUCAUUCAAGAAUCGCAUCCAGGAGGAGAAUGGUACUGAUUUAGUGUUGGUGAUGCAGAAAAAAAUCACAGAAUGUGAUUUAAGGAGUAAUAAUAAUCGGCUGUCCAUACCACCGACCAAAGUAAGAGAUGAUAACUUUGUCAAUCAAAAAGGAGAAGAGCAUUCUUAAUACAAAGGAAGGCAUAGAGGUCUUGAUGAUUCCUCCUUCUCUUAAACACAUUGUUCCUUUGACGUUCAAGAAGUGGAAGAUGGGUGAUAAUUACACUUAUAAUCUGAUGAAGACGUGGCAUGAUUUGGUUGUGGAUGAUAAAGAUAAUGGACUUGAGUUAGGUUCAGAAGUGCAGCUAUGGAGUUUCAGGAAGAACAAUUCUGAUUUGUGUUUUGCUUUGGUUAAGCUUGAAGGAUAACAAGGAAGUGGAAACAGAUCAUUACACUGAUGAUGCAACUGAUGCGAAGACUCUUCAUCAAACGGCUGAAUUGCAACAACUACAUAUGUUUUGACCCGACCCGUUGAUGAUAUUGAGCAAGAAAAAAAAAAUUGUAAAUAUGACAGAUGAAAUAUGUAGUAGCUACUGUAAUUGCAUUGAAAACUUGAAAUGCAUUAUAUCUUUAUAAGGUUUUGUGAUUUUCUUGGCAUGGCUUAUUGUUAAGAUUUCCAUUUUUUACAGUAUUUUGAUUUUCAAGCUCUUAAUCAUCAUAGGGUUUAUUACUAUUUCAGCUCCUGUAAUUGGCCUGCUUGGAGUUAUGAGCCUCCAGUAUCUGUUGCAACACUGAGGACUAACUCUCGUUUCUUUACAGUUUUCUUUACCUUACCGGUGCUUGCAUAGUUUUUCUGAUUAAUCUUUGAAGAUAACAGAGAAGUAAAAGCAAAUUCAAAGACUAGAUCUAAUGAGAAAAGUGUCCUUGUGAGGUUGCAUGAUAUUAAUCUUAACCCUCUGAUUUCAAGAAAUGACUCUCUUUGGUAUUCUUAAUAAGUAUCCUUCACUUGCAUGCUUGUCGGUCAGCUUUCUCGCUGUCCGGAGAUGUUCAUCUUUGUCAGGGUACACAAACACAUUGAAUUCCAAUCUUCGUUUGUGAAUAGUUCACUUUGAAAACCUCAGGCUAGUGAAAGGUUUCUGAGUAAAUUUAAGGAGGUUGUUGAUACAGGAGAAUUAUCACUAUUCUGUAGGCUGCUCUCAGGGCUUGGUGCGAAGGGAGUUGCCGGCUGAUUAUAUUUAUGACUUUCCAAUUUGCCGCGUUACAGUAAUGCCACGUAUACAAAAUUGGCCAUUGUUGUUGACUUGUCGCCUCAUGUGGAUAAAUUUGUGCUUUUUAAAUGGGGUUAUGAAACUCAAUGUGAGAAGGAUCUCUAAUUAUUCCUUGUGUUUUGGUUUUUGCGAACGUGCUUGUUCAACAAAAUCCAAAUCUGUUACAACUUGUUCAAUAUUCAGAUGACUAAAAAUGAAAUUACAUAACCAGCCAAUGUCAGAGUUGAUGUCCAGUUUUUACAUGUUCCAGUUAUCCGGGGAUGAUAUUGAAAAGAAUUGCAUUCACAAGAUUUAUAUUGUGAUUUGAUGAUUAGGUCUCACUAGCUGGCAGAUUUCAACUCUGUUUGAUUUGGUACAGCAGAGUUCAAUUCAUCGUAUCUAUUUGGUUGGUGCUGGAUUUCAUAUUCAUCUUUCAAUAACCAGCCCGGCGAGCAAGGCUAGCCCUGCAGUAUGGCCAGCAAUAUUUCAGUGAAAGACUAGUACAUCAUAAGCCAUUAACAACAGUAAUAAGCACAAAUAUUAACUCAAUCAGACAAUCAAAAAUGGUAAUUACCUGAUCAACGACCUUUGAGAAAUUCAUUGUUUCAAAAUUGGAAAAAUUUUGAGUGUACAUAGUUAAAACUGAAGCAGAUUAGGUGAUUGAUUUUAUCAAAACAGGCAUUCUAAUUGAAUGAAAUAUGACCUCAUAUCAGCUUUUUUUUUAGUCAAUGGAUAUUUUUUUUGUCAAGUUACCUAGUCUGUGUGCUUUCCUAAAGAAAUGCAGAGUAUUACUGUUUACACAUACAAAAUUACCUUUCCUUGAAGCCAUUUCCGCAAUUCCGCUAGCCAGCAAAAGCAUGCGGUUUUGUAUAUACUCUGAUUCAUGACAUGCAUGGUCAACAUACAACUAGAGUUGAAUUCUUACCAGAGGAGAAGAAACCCUUUGGUAGCCUCACUUAAAUGGCAUGGCAAAGCAGAUCAAAACACCAGCUAACGUUGAGCUGCUAACAUGGAGAUACAGGCAUAAAAAGAAAAGUACCAAAAGCGCAUGCAAGUCUUAACCAAACAUCAGCCAUGGACAUUUCUUCAACCUCACAAAAUUCCAGUUUGGUUCUUUAUCUACAAUGAAUCAAUGCCUUUAAAUCUUUCUAUUUUCUGUACAUUAACUGUCAUUUAAAAUACACAACAGCAUGUAACUUAGGCAGGACACUCAGUUAUCAAGGCAGAGGCUUUUUCAUGCAUUGAAAUAUUAAUACAACCUAUUAAACUAUGUUGAGAUUAAGACUCGAAUUUUUGUUCAGUAAUGAUCUAAACAGGCUGCUGAGGAUCCAAGAUUGCUGAAGAUCACCAAUACAACUAACAGAAAGAAACAUGAAGACUAACCUAGUACCAAUUUAAUCCAAGAUUCAUUCAGAAGAAACCACUUGCACAAAGCAAUUGCCUGUUGAGAAAAGGCAACUACAAAAGGCCAAAUUCUGAGCAGGCCAAUCUGUGAACCGCGAUAAUUUAGCUGAAAAUGAAAUAAACCUCUAGACUUAAUUAAGAACAGGUAAAUCAAAAAGCUCCAAAUAAAUGAAAAUCAUAAAAGAGAAUACCAAGAAAGUUAUUGAACCUUGAAAAGAAACAAUAGAGCAUUUCAAUGUAUUUAAAAGACUACAUCUUCUUCACAGUUUAUCUAUCACAUAUUCUAUCUUAUUCUUGCACAAUUAAUAUCAUCUAACACUAUCAACACUCUACAGCUGAUGAAAUAAUGUUGCAAUUUCUGCUUGCUAUUUUGAGGCCCUCCUUCUCCUUGGACAUCUCUCCAAAGCGAAACACAGCUCAGAAGACUUGUUCCUGAAGCUCCAUAGAUUCACAGUCGUACCUUCUCUCAGUCUAUUGUGUGGAUUACUCACAACCAAUGAAUGCCAUUUCUCCACGAGAGAAUAACUGAUCUUCCACUUCUUUAACUUCAAUUUAACAUUGGAUUUAAGAGACGGAGGAAUCAUUGAGACCUCUAUGCCUCCUUCAGCAUCAAGAUGCGAUUCUUUAAAGAUUCUGGCAUAUCAAGCAUUUCAGAAUUAACUACCCUGUCUUCAGUUUCCACUAACCUUGCAACUUCUGCCACUCGCUUUCCAACAAGAUCUCGCACAAGUCUCCAAGUUUGUAAAAACAAUUUCAAGAUUUCAUUACCUUUCGCUUCUUUUCCGGCCUCUCUCAGGAAUCUUUCAAAAGACUCACUAUUCUCAGCUUAUUCGUUCAACUCUUGCCCCAUUUUAUUAUUAUUAUUAUUAAAUUUUUUAUUUUUUUUAAAGAAGUAAGAAACGUUGAUCUGGGCUAAUCUUAGCAGCUGUUUGGCAGCAGGGAAAAAGAGUAAGAAUUUUAUUGAUCUCAGCUUAGCAAUAAAAUGAGGAUUACUUAGUGUAUUUUAUACGAAAGUCCAGCUGCGGCCAGUCGUAUAGCUUCACACAAGUUAGCGGUUACAGGGGUUCUGUAACCAACUGCCAGGUUGGCAAUCCAUGUGCCGAAAUGAUCUCAUCCCUUGGAUCUUACUCUGCUUUUGCUGGGUUAAAAUGACGGUGUUUGAUGGUUGUACCAAAAUGUUCGACAGAAUGUCUCAAAGAAGAUGUCUUGUGGGGAUCACCUUGGUUUGAAAUCAUACUGUAUGGAUGAUCAGAUGCCCCAAUGAUCUAGUGGCUGAUAUGAAGGCAUCAAGAAGCAUUAGCUCUAGAAUGAGCAAGAGUGUUGCCAGAUAAGCUUGGUGACUCAGCCAGGGAAUUGAAGACAAAAUGUGGAGAGAGUUUGUUCUCCUUUUGUAUUUUUGAUUUGAUGAAACCUGGACCAUUGAUUGUUUGUUACGCAUGUUAGGGUUUCAUAAUUCACCACCUGUAAUGUAAAUAGCACAUGACAUAUGGGAAUUGUUAUUGUUUUUGUUAUACAUUUAAAGGCACUAAAAGAUACAAUUUUUAGGGGGAGAGUUUGUUACAGGGAUUGGUUACAACUGCCAGGUUGACAAUCCAUGUGACAAAGUGAUCUGGACCCUUGAUCUGAUUCUGCUUUUCAACAAAAAAGUAACUAGCAGUUGACUUAAAAUAUUCAAAGAUUAAAAAUAGGAAUUAAUCACACUAAUAGUUCUUGAAAAUGGCUGUCAUAUUUGUUAAAAAAAAAAAAAAAAAAGCUCUGUGCCAUAAGAUGUGCGCAAGAGGCAGGGCAAAUGUGGCCAGAAUUAAUCAAAAUCAGGCUUGUAUAAGUUGAUUGGAAAAAGAUAUUGCAGUGUACGUUGAUCACUAGUCUCAGAAUUUUUUGAGUGAGAUAUGGUUCAAAAGUUCCGGCUCAGAGUACUAAUGAUUAAAAAGCCUAGCUGGGUCCGUCGCUUUAAUCAAAGCUACGUGAGCCCUGAUUUCAUACUUCAUACAUCUGCAAUGCAUCUAGUUACAACAUGAUGGUUCGGUAAAGGCAACAUGAAUUGCUUUUUUAGCAAGUCAUGUAAAGCACAAACACCGAAGAAAUGAAAAGCCUCUGAAAUUUGUAGUAUUCAACUCGAAAUGAAAAGUGAAGGAAUUUGCAGAAGCAAGCAAGAACAUUAUAUGAAAGUCAGUUCCUGACUACAUGGCAGCACAGUAAAAUGUCAGUUCUAAAAGCUUCAAUGCUAUCAGGGGACUUAAAGUCAUUAGAAACCUAGCAAGGUCACCAAAGAGAAAACUAUUUGAGAUGCUUGAGCAUUCUCAACAAACUAUAUCUGUUAAAGUCAUCAGAAAUAGCUUUAGACUGGUUGCUGAAUUAAAACAGAAGAAGAACUUGAAUACUGUACAUCGUUAAAUUCAUUGAAACGAUUACAAUUGACUAAAUAAUGCUGCUGCACUUAGUGUCAAUUUACAGUAGUACAUUAAAGAGCCAUGAGUAGUAAAAAACAGUAACAGUAUUGCAUUACAUAAAUGACUAAAAGAAUGGCUUAAAAUGUGGAAUUAAAUAUUCUUCAAUGAUCAAGGGAGAUAAUCAUCUUCAGGCUGCCUACGCCAGGGGAAAUAACAAGCAUCUAUCCACCUUGGAUGUACCAAGAACUUCGCCUCUUGCUCUGCCCAUUGACAAUCCUCACUUUCCGCAGAGACCAAAUGUGUAACAGAGAAGUCAAUUACUAUGGUGCAUGUAGCUUUCAUCUCCUCUGCUCUUGAACUGCUUCGUAUAAAAUCCCCAAAAUCACUGAAGAGUAAUGUACAUCACCUAAGAAUUCGACUACAACAUUUUGGGAAGUAAGUCCGAACAUCUCCGCAACCACUGUCAAAAAACAAUUUAUGGACUGUUUUCAGAACUCUCAUAUUGUUUGCUAAUGCCCGUCAUUCUCACUUUCAUUAGUCCAUGUUUCAGAAUAGAAUUUGUGAUCGCUUUUCAUUUCUUUAUCCUUAACAACUAUCAAGUUCUCAUUGUGAUCACUCCACGCACUCUAAUUGUCAUCAUGAAUAAUAAUGCCGGUCUCUUGCCCCAAUAUUGAGUUCAGAUUCUUCCUAUCUUUUCGCUUGAAAUCUUCACGACCAAUGAUCCUGGAACUCAAGUACUUGGAAUCUGGGUCGAGUAGCUUGACAGCCUCCUUAGCGUAACAUCGGGUACCCAUGGUGCAUACAUAUAUCUCAAACAAGCUACUGGUUUGUUCAAGAAAAGCGUGAACAAAUGGCCUCAACUUCACCAACCCAUCAUCAUCCAUCUGUAAUAAACUGUCAUUGAAGGAAUGAACUCGCUUCUUCAAAUAUUUCUCUCCUGAUGAGAGGCUUGUAAGCCUUUGACAGUGGAGCAGCGUAUGGUCUAAAUCUAGAACAAGAUGGAGCUUCCUCUUCCUUAACAAAGUCUUUGAGUUUCUCUUAUUCAAACUUAAACUUCUUCUUCACUGUAUUGUAAUCCUGCCAGUAUGUAAUCAAAAGAUAAACUGAAUGAAUCAACCACGGCUUGGUUGCAAAAAAUGCACCUUCUGUCCCGAGAAGUGGAGUGUGUGCAUGACAAAAUCUGCUCAAAAGAACAAGAAUCUACACCACCGACAAAAUCCCCACAUCUUCUCAUGUUAACAAACUUUGUUUUCCUAACACACUUGUGUUUGUAACUGUAUGCAUCCAUUUUGUGUGCUUUGAAAGAUUGUAUGAUUCAAAGAAAACAGAAUGAGGGUUUUCGAUUGAUUGUUUGAACAGGCUUUAGAGAAUUGCAAAACCCUUUUUCUCUUGAAGCUUAAACUGAAUAAAUGUUGCAAGAAAUUAGUUUUAAAUGGGUUCAAUCAGAAAGAAUGAUGAACAAGAAAGCACAGUUGCAGAAUUCGAAAGAGAUUUUGUUGAAAAAGAGUUACAGUCAUAAAUGUAAUCGAAAUACGAUUGCAGAAAUUGUUUUUUUAUUGGGUUUCAAUGAUAAUGUAAUUGUAAUUCUUUUCCUGAGUGAAGUGGGAAUUGAGGAAAAACGCGGUCAAAAUCAUUCAUGGAGAGACAUAGAUAGGGUAGUUGUUAGAACUCGAAGACUUUGGAGCCAAGAGAGUUAUCUCUAACCCUAAGUUAACGGCCUUUUUUCUUUCUCUGCAAGUAAAAGUUUUUCUUGUAAUUAGUUGAAUUGUUUAAGAAAUUCACUAUUAUAAAAUAUAGUUAAGUGUGUGUAUAUAUGUAUGUAUAUAUUUCUAUUAUUGACAAAACAAAUUGGAAUUUGAAGUUUUGACCGUUAGGGUUAGGAUUAGGGUUCCCGUGUUUUGAUCAUUUAACCGCCUUUUUUUUUUCUUUUAUCAAUUUUGGAAACUUAUUUCUUAGAUUACAAAAUUCAGGAAACCCGCUUCUAUAUUCGCAUAAUGUUCUAAUCCUGGGACUUUAAAGUUUUCUGAAAUUCCUGCUCUGUUUUAUUCGUUUCUCCGUGCUUUGAAUCUUUAGUUGUCAGCUGCUAACUUUCUUUGAAUAUGAGAAGAAAGAAGAUGGAAAAAGAGAGAAACAUGAAAUGGGAAUUGAAUGAUGAUGGUGGUUCUUUUGACAGAAUUUUGAGAGAGGCGGAAGAGGCUGCCAAUGUUGAUGAGUCCUUCAAAAUGAGUUCACUUGUGAGGAUGAUUGUUCAAAGGCAUAUUGUAAAACAAGUGGCUCCAAAGGAAUUUGGCAAUCUGGGGUUUUACCUACCCAAAGGAAGAAGAGAUUCUGUUUCUCAAAGCUUGCCAGAAGAAGAACGCCGUCGCUAACACUUAAAAUUAACAAUAAAAAGAUUACUCUGAACAGGUGCUUUUGAUCAGACUUAUGUCAGAGGCCGAUGAAGAUGAUGAACAAGAGUUCAGAAAGCCCAAAAAGUGGAGAAGACGGGGGUCAGGAAGAAUGCAUAUUUGCUGAUUAAUCAUUCAAGACUUGGAGAAUGGUACUGAUUUAGCGUUGGUGAUGCUUUGAAACUCAUUGUAUCAAGUUCAUUGCAGGGGACUCCCUUUCAGUUAAUUAUUCUCACAACUUUUAUUCAUUUCUUGCUGCGAAAUUUGGUUAAUUUUAUCAGUUUUGAUAUGUUCGUAUUGUCAUUUUUGUGGAUUUAAUUCAUAAGUUAUUAUUAUCCCUUUAGAAUCAAUCUCAGUUAAUGCAGCAACAUAAGUAACAGAAACUGUUUUUGAGCAAGUUUCUGUUACUUAUGUGGGAUAGAUUUUCUUGAUUUUGUAGCAUUUGACCUAAGCUGAUCAUGAAAGCAUUUUGUCAUCAGUUGAUUUUUACCUGUCUUUGAAUUGAUUGUGUAGACUAACUGUGUUAAUUUGCAUAAACGUAGAGCAUUCCACAAAUGUUUAUGAGAAAGUUUGGACAUGAACUUAUUGAUGACGCUACAUUCAUAAUUUCUAAUGGUCACCAUUGAUGUGGUCGUAUGAAAAAAAAAAAAAAGGAAAUUUUAUUCAAUCUUUACUGGAUGUUUUAUAAUCUUCAAGUAUGAAAAGAGUUCAAGUUUUUAGGUUCAUAUUUUUUUAUUUGGCCAUAAUUUGAUUGUUUAGAGAUUUAAUUGUAAAGUAUGUUCAUAAACUCUUUCACUUAGUGGUCAUUAUAGUCAUGCAAAGAUUCGUUAAAGUAAAUACUCUUGAUGCUAAUGGGUUCAUAUGGUCAAAAUUUUAGUCGUUCAGUCAUUUCAUAAGGAUAUCUUUAAUACAAAUAAGCCGAUUUUGUCAUUAUUUAUAGAAAGUAAAAAAAUCAGGAACCUUGUAAUCUCAAAUUAAUAAUAUUUUUAUAAAGUAAAGAAAGAUCAAGAUGAGGCACCCACAGAAGUAAAGAUUUUGAAUUUUUUAUCUCUCCUUAACAUAUACCAUAUGGAUAUAUAACUACAUGUUCAUGCAAAUAUAUGUUUUUGUCAUUUUGGUUCUUUAUUUAAAAAAAAAAAAAGGUAAACUUUGUAUAUGAACAAUUCUAGCCUAAGAGUAAGAUUCAAAGAUUCUUCCAUUGUUGUUAAAAUAGUCGAUUUUUACAUAGGUGGGGUUAUUUGUACUCUAAAUUUUAUUUUGAAUGCUGCAUUACUUUAUAAACUCAUAUACUAAUUUAAAAAAUUAAGGUUUACCCUAUGCAUUCUUUAAAAUUCUAAAAACUUAAUUACUUAAACUAUUUAAAUUAUUUACUUAAAACAUCAAUAAAAUUAUUUAGCACAUAGUUAAAAUAAUAUAUCACAAAGUAAAGUUGUAAAUGAAUUAUUUAACAUAAUUUUUAAUUUUAUUUUUUGGCUUAUUCAUAUUCAAUAUUGAAUUUUCAUUAAAAAAACUUACAUUGACAACAUAAUAAUAAAAGAUAUUCUAUAAAUCUCUAAAAAAAAUGAAAAGAAGACGAGAAGAGGGAGGAGGAGGAGGGGAAAAAAUGGUUGUUUUACAUACAAUAAUUUUUUUUAUUUUUAAAAAAUAAAAAGUAUCACACACAUAGUUUAAAGUAAAAACUUUUUUCUAAAUAUUAAUUUUAAUUCGUUAUUGUUUAUCCAAGUAUUGAUGAAGAUGUUGGAAAUAAAUAUUUAAGGAUUUAAGAUAUGACAAUUAUAUAUUGAAUAAUAAGUGUGUUGCAUGAGUGUUCAAAGAAAUUAUGUAAGUUAUAAUAACUUAUCCAUAAUUAUAAUUCACAUGAUGAAUAUUUCUAUAAUAAUUUUUUUUAUUAAAAUUAAAGUAUUAAUUUUUUAAAUUGAAAAAGUCCCAUCUAUUUUACAUGUGGAAAAUAUGAUGAUCAUUGACUAUUUUUAAUGCAGGGCAAAUCCUAUGAUUAUAGCAUUAAUGCCUACACAAUUGACUCAUUCAUUUGUUAAUUUAUAAAAUAUAUUAAUAGGGAAAAGCCACCAACGCCCUCAAGAUUUAUUCUGCAAACUCCCUUACUUUCAUAAAUGGUUACAUACACCCUUUUUUGCUAUUAUACCCUUUGAUUAUAACAACCAAAAUAAAUAUAAAUAUAAAUAUAAGAUAAAAAUAAUAAUAUAUAUAUCAUAUGAUACAAAAAAAUAUUACAAUAAGUAUAAUUAGUAAAAUAACUUAUAUAAUAAAAAUUAUUUUUAAUAUUAAGCUAUUAUAGUCUAUCCCGACUGAUUUCAUUAAUACUCUAACAUUUAAAGGCACUAAAAGAUACAAUUUUUAGGGGGAGAGUUUGUUACAGGGAUUGGUUACAACUGCCAGGUUGACAAUCCAUGUGACAAAGUGAUCUGGACCCUUGAUCUGAUUCUGCUUUUCAACAAAAAAGUAACUAGCAGUUGACUUAAAAUAUUCAAAGAUUAAAAAUAGGAAUUAAUCACACUAAUAGUUCUUGAAAAUGGCUGUCAUAUUUGUUAAAAAAAAAAAAAAAAAGCUCUGUGCCAUAAGAUGUGCGCAAGAGGCAGGGCAAAUGUGGCCAGAAUUAAUCAAAAUCAGGCUUGUAUAAGUUGAUUGGAAAAAGAUAUUGCAGUGUACGUUGAUCACUAGUCUCAGAAUUUUUUGAGUGAGAUAUGGUUCAAAAGUUCCGGCUCAGAGUACUAAUGAUUAAAAAGCCUAGCUGGGUCCGUCGCUUUAAUCAAAGCUACGUGAGCCCUGAUUUCAUACUUCAUACAUCUGCAAUGCAUCUAGUUACAACAUGAUGGUUCGGUAAAGGCAACAUGAAUUGCUUUUAGCAAGUCAUGUAAAGCACAAACACCGAAGAAAUGAAAAGCCUCUGAAAUUUGUAGUAUUCAACUCGAAAUGAAAAGUGAAGGAAUUUGCAGAAGCAAGCAAGAACAUUAUAUGAAAGUCAGUUCCUGACUACAUGGCAGCACAGUAAAAUGUCAGUUCUAAAAGCUUCAAUGCUAUCAGGGGACUUAAAGUCAUUAGAAACCUAGCAAGGUCACCAAAGAGAAAACUAUUUGAGAUGCUUGAGCAUUCUCAACAAACUAUAUCUGUUAAAGUCAUCAGAAAUAGCUUUAGACUGGUUGCUGAAUUAAAACAGAAGAAGAACUUGAAUACUGUACAUCGUUAAAUUCAUUGAAACGAUUACAAUUGACUAAAUAAUGCUGCUGCACUUAGUGUCAAUUUACAGUAGUACAUUAAAGAGCCAUGAGUAGUAAAAAACAGUAACAGUAUUGCAUUACAUAAAUGACUAAAAGAAUGGCUUAAAAUGUGGAAUUAAAUAUUCUUCAAUGAUCAAGGGAGAUAAUCAUCUUCAGGCUGCCUACGCCAGGGGAAAUAACAAGCAUCUAUCCACCUUGGAUGUACCAAGAACUUCGCCUCUUGCUCUGCCCAUUGACAAUCCUCACUUUCCGCAGAGACCAAAUGUGUAACAGAGAAGUCAAUUACUAUGGUGCAUGUAGCUUUCAUCUCCUCUGCUCUUGAACUGCUUCGUAUAAAAUCCCCAAAAUCACUGAAGAGUAAUGUACAUCACCUAAGAAUUCGACUACAACAUUUUGGGAAGUAAGUCCGAACAUCUCCGCAACCACUGUCAAAAAACAAUUUAUGGACUGUUUUCAGAACUCUCAUAUUGUUUGCUAAUGCCCGUCAUUCUCACUUUCAUUAGUCCAUGUUUCAGAAUAGAAUUUGUGAUCGCUUUUCAUUUCUUUAUCCUUAACAACUAUCAAGUUCUCAUUGUGAUCACUCCACGCACUCUAAUUGUCAUCAUGAAUAAUAAUGCCGGUCUCUUGCCCCAAUAUUGAGUUCAGAUUCUUCCUAUCUUUUCGCUUGAAAUCUUCACGACCAAUGAUCCUGGAACUCAAGUACUUGGAAUCUGGGUCGAGUAGCUUGACAGCCUCCUUAGCGUAACAUCGGGUACCCAUGGUGCAUACAUAUAUCUCAAACAAGCUACUGGUUUGUUCAAGAAAAGCGUGAACAAAUGGCCUCAACUUCACCAACCCAUCAUCAUCCAUCUGUAAUAAACUGUCAUUGAAGGAAUGAACUCGCUUCUUCAAAUAUUUCUCUCCUGAUGAGAGGCUUGUAAGCCUUUGACAGUGGAGCAGCGUAUGGUCUAAAUCUAGAACAAGAUGGAGCUUCCUCUUCCUUAACAAAGUCUUUGAGUUUCUCUUACUCAAACUUAAACUUCUUCUUCACUGUAUUGUAAUCCUGCCAGUAUGUAAUCAAAAGAUAAACUGAAUGAAUCAACCACGGCUUGGUUGCAAAAAAUGCACCUUCUGUCCCGAGAAGUGGAGUGUGUGCAUGACAAAAUCUGCUCAAAAGAACAAGAAUCUACACCACCGACAAAAUCCCCACAUCUUCUCAUGUUAAAACUUUGUUUCCUAACACACUUGUGUUUGUAACUGUAUGCAUCCAUUUUGUGUGCUUUGAAAGAUUGUAUGAUUCAAAGAAAACAGAAUGAGGGUUUUCGAUUGAUUGUUUGAACAGGCUUUAGAGAAUUGCAAAACCUUUUUUUCUCUUGAAGCUUAAACUGAAUAAAUGUUGCAAGAAAUUAGUUUUAAAUGGGUUCAAUCAGAAAGAAUGAUGAACAAGAAAGCACAGUUGCAGAAUUCGAAAGAGAUUUUGUUGAAAAAAGAACAGUCAUAAAUGUAAUCGAAAUACGAUUGCAGAAAUUGUUUUUUAUUGGGUUUCAAUGAUAAUGUAAUUGUAAUUCUUUUCCUGAGUGAAGUGGGAAUUGAGGAAAAACGCGGUCAAAAUCAUUCAUGGAGAGACAUAGAUAGGGUAGUUGUUAGAACUCGAAGACUUUGGAGCCAAGAGAGUUAUCUCUAACCCUAAGUUAACGGCCUUUUUUCUUUCUCUGCAAGUAAAAGUUUUCUUGUAAUUAGUUGAAUUGUUUAAGAAAAUUCACUAUUAUAAAAUAUAGUUAAGUGUGUGUAUAUAUGUAUGUAUAUAUUUCUAUUAUUGACAAAACAAAUUGGAAUUUGAAGUUUUGACCGUUAGGGUUAGGAUUAGGGUUCCCGUGUUUUGAUCAUUUAACCGCCUUUUUUUUUUCUUUUAUCAAUUUUGGAAACUUAUUUCUUAGAUUACAAAAUUCAGGAAACCCGCUUCUAUAUUCGCAUAAUGUUCUAAUCCUGGCACUUUAAAGUUUUCUGAAAUUCCUGCUCUGUUUUAUUCGUUUCUCCGUGCUUUGAAUCUUUAGUUGUCAGCUGCUAACUUUCUUUGAAUAUGAGAAGAAAGAAGAUGGAAAAAGAGAGAAACAUGAAAUGGGAAUUGAAUGAUGAUGGUGGUUCUUUUGACAGAAUUUGAGAGAGGCGGAAGAGGCUGCCAAUGUUGAUGAGUCCUUCAAAAUGAGUUCACUUGUGAGGAUGAUUGUUCAAAGGCAUAUUGUAAAACAAGUGGCUCCAAAGGAAUUUGGCAAUCUGGGGUUUUACCUACCCAAAGGAAGAAGAGAUUCUGUUUCUCAAAGCUUGCCAGGAAGAAGAACGCCGUCGCUAACACUUAAAAUUAACAAUAAAAAGAUUACUCUGAACAGGUGCUUUGAUCAGACUUAUGUCAGAGCCGAUGAAGAUGAUGAACAAGAGUUCAGAAAGCCCAAAAAGUGGAGAAGACGGGGGUCAGGAAGAAUGCAUAUUUGCUGAUUAAUCAUUCAAGACUUGGAGAAUGGUACUGAUUUAGCGUUGGUGAUGCUUUGAAACUCAUUGUAUCAAGUUCAUUGCAGGGGACUCCCUUUCAGUUAAUUAUUCUCACAACUUUUAUUCAUUUCUCUGCUGAAAUUUGGUUAAUUUUAUCAGUUUUGAUAUGUUCGUAUUGUCAUUUUUGUGGAUUAAUUCAUAAGUUAUUAUUAUCCCUUUAGAAUCAAUCUCAGUUAAUGCAGCAACAUAAGUAACAGAAACUGUUUUUGAGCAAGUUUCUGUUACUUAUGUGGGAUAGAUUUUCUUGAUUUUGUAGCAUUUGACCUAAGCUGAUCAUGAAAGCAUUUUGUCAUCAGUUGAUUUUUACCUGUCUUUGAAUUGAUUGUGUAGACUAACUGUGUUAAUUUGCAUAAACGUAGAGCAUUCCACAAAUGUUUAUGAGAAAGUUUGGACAUGAACUUAUUGAUGACGCUACAUUCAUAAUUUCUAAUGGUCACCAUUGAUGUGGUCGUAUGAAAAAAAAAAAAAAGGAAAUUUUAUUCAAUCUUUACUGGAUGUUUUAUAAUCUUCAAGUAUGAAAAGAGUUCAAGUUUUUAGGUUCAUAUUUUUUUAUUUGGCCAUAAUUUGAUUGUUUAGAGAUUUAAUUGUAAAGUAUGUUCAUAAACUCUUUUCACUUAGUGGUCAUUAUAGUCAUGCAAAGAUUCGUUAAAGUAAAUACUCUUGAUGCUAAUGGGUUCAUAUGGUCAAAAUUUUAGUCGUCAUUUUCAUAAAAUAUCUUUAAUACAAAUAGGCCGAUUAUGUCAUUAUUAUAGAAAGUAAAAAAAUCAGGAACCUUGUAAUCUCAAAUUAAUAAUAUUUUAUAAAAGUAAAGAAAGAUCAAGAUGAGGCACCCACAGAAGUAAAGAUUUUGAAUUUUUAUCUCUCCUUAACAUAUACCAUAUGGAUAUAUAACUACAUGUUCAUGCAAAUAUAUGUUUUUGUCAUUUUGGUUCUUUAUUUAAAAAAAAAAAAAAGGUAAACUUUGUAUAUGAACAAUUCUAGCCUAAGAGUAAGAUUCAAAGAUUCUUCCAUUGUUGUUAAAAUAGUCGAUUUUUACAUAGGUGGGGUUAUUGUAACUCUAAAUUUAUUUUGAAUGCUGCAUUACUUUAUAAACUCAUAUACUAAUUUAAAAAAUUAAGUUUACCCUAUGCAUUCUUUAAAAUUCUAAAAACUUAAUUACUUAAACUAUUUAAAUUUAUUUACUUAAAACAUCAAUAAAAAUUAUUAGCACAUAGUUAAAAUAAUUAUAUCACAAAGUAAAGUUGUAAAUGAAUUAUUUAACAUAAUUUUUUAAUUUUAUUUUUGGCUUAUUCCAUAUUCAAUAUUGAAUUUUCAUUAAAAAAACUUACAUUGACAACAUAAAAUAAAAGAUAUUCUAUAAAUCUCUAAAAAAAAUGAAAAGAAGACGAGAAGAGGGAGGAGGAGGAGGGGAAAAAAUGGUUGUUUUACAUACAAUAAUUUUUUAUUUUUAAAAAUAAAAAGUAUCACACACAUAGUUUAAAGUAAAAACUUUUUUCUAAAUAUUAAUUUUAAUUCGUUAUUGUUAUCCAAGUAUUGAUGAAGAUGUUGGAAAUAAAUAUUUAAGGAUUUAAGAUAUGACAAUUAUAUAUUGAAUAAUAAGUGUGUUGCAUGAGUGUUCAAAGAAAUUAUGUAAGUUAUAAUAACUUAUCCAUAAUUAUAAUUCACAUGAUGAAUAUUUCUAUAAUAAUUUUUUUAUUAAAAUUAAAGUAUUAAUUUUUUAAAUUGAAAAUAGUCCCAUCUAUUUUACAUGUGGAAAAUAUGAUGAUCAUUGACUAUUUUUAAUGCAGGGCAAAUCCUAUGAUUAUAGCAUUAAUGCCUACACAAUUGACUCAUUCAUUUGUUAUUUAUAAAAAUAUAUUAAUAGGGAAAAAGCCACCAACGCCCUCAAGAUUUAUUCUGCAAACUCCCUUACUUUCAUAAAUGGUUACAUACACCCUUUUUUGCUAUUAUACCCUUUGAUUAUAACAACCAAAAUAAAUAUAAAUAUAAAUAUAAGAUAAAAAUAAUAAAUAUAUAUCAUAUGAUACAAAUAAAUAUUACAAUAAGUAUAAUUAGUAAAAUAACUUAUAUAAUAAAAUUAUUUUUAAUAUUAAGCUAUUAUAGUCUAUCCCGACUGAUUUCAUUAAUACUCUAAUCUAUUAAUCUAAAAAUUGGCUUUAAGAUUCAUAUUAAUAUAGACAUAAUUAAAAAAUAUUGCAAAUAAAAUAAUAUAAAUUUUAUAAAUUACUACGAAUGUUAGGUAUAAUUAUUUUAAUAUUAUUAAUUUGUCAAAUAGAUUUAAUUAUUAUUAAAAGAAUAUGAUAGAUUAAUAAUGUUAAAAUAAAAUUUGUAAUAUUGAAAAUAAUUUAUAAAUUUAUCUUAUGUAUGUAUUAUAUUAUUUUUAUUUUUAUUAUAUAAAUUUAUUUAAAGUCAAUUAUUGGGUUUUUUGUAAUCAAGGCUAUAAUAGUAAAAAAGGAGUGUGCGUGGUCAUUUAUGAAAAUUAAAGAGAUUUGGAUGAUCAUUUAAGUAAAUUUUCGGGGUGUGGGUGGCUUUUCUCUGUAUUUAUAGCUUAAUAAUUGGUUGAGAUUAUUUUAACCCACCUCACUACUCUUCAAACCCUUUUUUUAAAAAUAAAUUCUAUAUCACUAAAUACCCAUCAAGCAAUUGGCAAUUAAGGCCAAACAAUAUAUCAAAUAAAAUAAAUUUACUCUCUAACCCAUUUUAUUUGAAACCUUGACUCUUUAUUUGAUUAUCAUUAACAUAAUUUUCCGAUAAACAAGUUGUAUUUAAUAGUGAAAAAUCGAUUGGUAUCUUUCAAUUAGUGAAAAAGCUUUUAUCUAACAAGCUUGAUUAGGGCAAAAUCACUUAACACCAUCCUAAUUUGACUGUUGUGAAUUGACAUUUAAAUACUCUUUGCUGUAAAUUAAAAAUUUAUAAUUUAUAAUUAUUUUGUUGAAGCCCAAUCACGCCAGUAUGUUAGUGUCAAUUGAUACCCUCCUUUGGGAUCGUGAAAUUGCCAAGUUUAUGAAAGUUCAAAUAAAAACAAAAAGGAUGAGUUAAUAGAUUUUGUGGGUAUCGAAAGAAAUUGAUACUGAAUUAUUUAGAGAUAAAAAAUCAAAUUAGGGUAAUUUUUAAUAUUAUGGAGGGUGAGAGAGUAAAAUUUUGACUUUUAAAUUUAAUUAAUAAGUGUAGAGAGUAAUUGGCAUAUAAACAAUAUUUUAGUGGAUUUAAAUAAUCCCACAUUAAUAUUGACUAAUCGAUAUUUACUUAUUUUUAUUUUUUUGGGUCCCAGCACAUUUAAUUAUAUCCUUUUAUUUAUUCCAUAAAAUUCAACAUGUUAAAGGAGAGUCACCGAGUUAGUAGGGAUGGCAAAAUUCGAAUCUGAAUCUAGAUCCGCAUUGAACAUUUGGCAUCUGGAUCUACAAAAAAAUAUGCGAAUCCAGAUGCAAGUAAUAUCCACACAUAUUGCGGGCAUAUUUUUCGAAUAUUUGAAUCUGUAUAAUGAUAAAUUUAAAUUUAAUAAUUUACCUAAUAAUAUUAAAUAAAAUUUAAUUAUAAUUUAACAAUCAAUAAUUCAAUAUCAAUUCAACAGAAAUAACGUACAACAACACCAUAUUUCACAAAUGGUAAUUUCACAACAUAAAUCAAACAUAAAAAAUAAAAAAAAUCUAAGGUAAACUGAUUCAUUACAAAAUUCUCUAAUUAUUAUUAUUCUUUUUUUAUUUUUUAACAUAUUUUUCAUAGUCAAUGAAGAUUAUAGAGUUAAUUACGCUUAUACAUAUCAAAUAAAUAAUUUAAUUUAUAUAUAUUUCAAUUAAAAUUUAAUUAAAUAAAUAAUUUAAUUAUAAAAUAAUACGGAUCCGAAUCUGCAUUUUUUAACAUGCGGAUCUAUAUUUUCCCAAAUCCGGGUCUUUCGGAUCUUGGCCGGAUCCAUAAUUUAUUGCCAUCCCUAUGAGUCAGGGACCUUUUAUCAUAAUUAGUGAAACUAUGUCCUUGCAUGAAAAUUCAAGAAAAACAUGGGUGCAAAUGUUAUUUAUAGAAACAAGAAGCAGAGUUUCAGAAACUUAUGAUUUUGGCAAGUACCGUGUAAUAACUCAAAACUAGAGAAACAGAGUGAGCAGAAUCGUGUACGUCGAGUACCAUGGCAGAGGCGCCCUCUCACUUCUUCAAGGUGAUUCUUGCCGCAACCAUUGAAGACAAGAACUUGGUAACUUUUCCUAACUUCUAUAUUCUUGUUUUGCGAAGAUUCUUGUUCAUAAAAAAAAAAAAGUAUAUAAACAAAGAAAUUUUUCCUAGUUUUGUGGUUAUUAACUAGUUAAUAAUACCCACAUUUCAUGUUUAACGCUCUGCCGUUUCUAAAUCAACAGAACAAAUUUGUCAAAUUGCCACCUGGGAUUGGUUUUGCAUACAUACAUACAUACAUAUAUAUAUAUAUACAUAUAUAUAUAUAUAUAUAUAUAUGUGGAGCACUAUUAAUAUUUUCUGAGGAAACAAACAAAUAAUAUCAAUAAUGUAUUGUGUCCAUGAAAUGCUUAAGACACUGGCGUUUUGCUGGAAUAGUCUCUCUUUCAAUUCCAUAUGCAUGCUUUGUCCUUCAUUUAUUUUCCAUUCUUCGUUUGCGAAUUGGGGUAUAAGAAAGUUCUUUAUUCUUGUAAUUUUGGGCAUGAAAGUAUCAUCUAUUUAUUGUAGGAUAAUGGGUCGGUUUGUACUCAUGUAAUUGGAGCAGAAGAGAAUGAUCUUUGAGGUUCUAUUAGUUUCCAUUGUUCCAGAAUGCUGUUUAAUGUGCCAAAGGCUCCAGAUAAUCUGAGGAACAAGAUUUAUGUCUCUUUGGUACUUUCAAGGUUAUCAGUAUAUAUAUUCCUUUGAAAAAGAUAAUGAGUGAUUAUUCUUUGCAGUAUGUCAAUUGUUAAUUGAUAGACAUUUUUACUGCCGGUAUCACUUCCAUAUCAAAUUUGUUUAGAGUUGGAGUGUGGAAGAGAAUUUAACCAAUUAUGAGGUAGAGUUGGUAUCAAAAUUGCAUCCCUUAUAUGAAUUUUGGUAAUCUAGUUAUUUGAUAACUGUUAUGAGUUAGUCAUUGCAACAUAAUGUGUCAUAUAUGAUGAAAUCUAGCCGAAAGUUUUUGGCAUUCAAGCUCAUCUCAUUAUGGAUAGCAUUGUGAUAGUCUUGUAUAUCGAAAGAUUAUGUCAAAUCCAUCUACCUUAUUGUAUUGGCAUUCAGAUACGUCUUCUUGUUUAUGAAACCUUGAUUUACACUGAUCAAAUGUCAUCACAGCAAUGCUGUCGAAGCACUUUUUCAUGUUUUCAAAAGUAGAUCAUCUAACUUUAUUUGCCUAAGCUGCAGAGUAUUCCGCCACAGUUCGUGCGAAAUUUGGGGAUGAACUCUCAUCAGUAGCUAGACUCACAGUUCCUAAUGGUUAUAUUUGGAGAGUAGAUAUAAGAAAAGAUGAGGGAAAGGUAUGGCUUGAUGAUGAUUGGCAAGAAUUUAUGGAAUAUCAUUUAAUCUGUGUUGGAUUCUCUGUGGUUUUCCAAUAUGAAAAGAUUUCAAAUUUCUGAGUUCAUAUAUUUGAUACAACUACUUGUGAGAUUCAGUAUCCAUGUAGAAACAUGUGCAUGCCUUCACAGAAAAAUUGGAUUUCUUAUAGAUGUAAUACAAAUAAGAAGUGUACUGCUACUGUUGGCAGUCCAAAAUUUAAGAGUGGUUGUGAGAUGAGAGGCAAGAAGUGCGGAAUUGAAGAGGCAGAGGUGAAAGAUGAAUCUGAAAGUGUUAGUGAUUUGAUGAAAGAGAAACUGAACAUAACUGGAUUGUCUAAUUCGCAACGAUCUGUUCAACGCAAAAUGCAUCUUGGUGAGACACCAUGUCAGUGGGUUCAGGAAACAGACCAUUUGAUUGAUAACACCAAAUUGAAAAAAGCCAAACAUAAGAUGAAGAAUGAGCACAGUACAUGCAUUGUAGGUAAGGAAAAUUAGUCUCUUGAUAUCUAUAUGUUGUUUUAUGCAGCAAGUGAUUACAAGAUCUUUCAUCAGUAACGCUGAAAAAUUGCAGAUAAAAAUGAGUUAGCUUGGCUUCAAGACUUGGGAGUCUAUAUUUGUGAUUCAAGGAUAUUUCUUUCGGUGGAAGAAAGACAGAGCAAUUGAUGCUGCCAAAUUCUUCAAUCCUAAAAACCCUUCAUUCCUUGUUUUCAUGUGGGAAAAUAACAUCUGGAAACAAUCUGUGGUGAGCUUUAAAAUAAUUAGUUUGAAUUGUUUCGGCUUAUCCUUUUGAACAAUGCAAAGCUUUUGUUGUUUCUGCUUUGCUUGUGAAGUAUGUGCCGGUUGCAUUUUCUCAGAACUGCUUGAGAGGGAAUAAGUUUGCAGUACAGGAUUCCGAAGGAACAGAGUUGGCUGUUACAAUGAGCUGGACUAGGAAGUGCUUUUUGAGUGGAUGGGGUUGGUUUUUCAAGGAGAACCUUGUUACGAAGGUUUCAGUAUUUCAUGCGCAAGUAUAAUCUAGUGUUGAAGAUGUUUUCAGGUAGUUAUGUUUGAUCUCUCAAGUGUAAAUCUCUAGAACUUGUUGAUUCCUUUUCGAAUUUCCGUUAGUUUACUAGUAAGGUAUAUUUAUAUAUGUUUACUGGAUCCAGACAGUUCAUAUGAUAUUAGUGUUGUAAAAAUACACUGGCAUUUUGCUUUAUCAGAGGCCUUAAAUAGAUAUGUUUAUGUAACUACCUUUGGUGCUAAUUGUUGUAGAUUAUAUGUAUAUCAUAAUGUCAUAAAGAGGAAUCAAGGUCAUCUGGUUUUGAUUUCUGUAAGUGGAUUGACUGUAACGUUCAUUAUAUGCACUCUUCUUUGACUUACAGUUAGAGCUUGUGCCAAAUCUUGCCUUCAACUCAUCACAUGUCUACUGCUAGAGAAUUUGUGUGACAAUUCAGAAGCUUGAAAAUUAUUUCCCUUCUUGUUUUGAGAAAAGUUGGAAGGCUAAUGUUCCAUGGAAAAUUGUAAAAAAUCAUUUAUUAAAUUAUGAAGGUAAAAUUUAUGAUCCCUUAUAUGUUGCGCAAUUUAGUUUUCAUGCGUUCUUCUUCAAGAAGCAACUAAAUAAGUACUCUUAAAAAGAAAAGUAAAACUAUACCAUUUUCAGAAAAAACACUUGACUGACCUUAUUUUGUGUAAAAAGCAAUUUUAUAUGCUUUCUCCAAUGCUUUUACUACAGUGCUUAUAACUCAAAAUUCAGAGAAAGUGACCUAAAUAUCUGAAAUUUUUCAAUGUUAUAGUAACUUUGGGUUUGCAUUCUUUAUAAAAGAAGAAAAAAAUGAAAAAAUAAUAUUAAAAACUGUUGCAUUAUCUUCAACUAAUAACCCAAGUUAAUGGUAAUUUUGAGUUAUAGCAAUCUUUAGUUCUUCUAAAAAAAAAAAAAAAAAAAAAACCUUUGGGUUUGCAUUCUCUAUUACAGAAGAAAAAAGAAAUGAAAAAAAUAAAAAUAAAUACUGUUGCAUUAUCUUCAACUCAUAACCCAAAUUAAUGGUCAUCUGUAUAAGGGCAGAGCCAAUAGAACUGCUGCUGGCUGCUGCUUCAUUGAACAGUGUCAGCUUCAACCCCAUCUGCCCAAAAUGGAAAUGACAGCUUCAACAUAAACUUUUGAACCAAAAUAAAAUUUCCUCUAAUAUAUAAGCAUAUCUGCAUCUGUACUGCUCCAAAUCAAGAAUCCUUCAGAAUCAGAGAUUCCCUGUUAAAAGCUGCAUUUUCAAAGUCAAAAAGACCAGCAGCAGGUUUGUUUAAGGCUAAUCGUAACUUUGCAGUGUAAAUAUUAUCUUCGGUACUUGGACCAAUGGCUUGGUUCCUUUGUUAUAGAAGAAAGGAUGGAUAUUUUGAAAAGAAAAGGAGAAAAAGGGAAACAUCCGGUACAGCUGAAACAAACUUGCUGUCUGGUGCUCUAUUUAUAAAAGCAAAUAGCACAUACAAGGAGAGCAUAACUCAUAAUGUCCAGUUCCAUGGCAAAGUCACCUUCGCAUUUCUUCAAGGCCAUCCAUGCCUCCACCAUUGAAGACAAAAAACUGGUAAGGUUCUCACAAAUUUUUUUUUUUUUUUUUUUUUAUAUUAAUCACGAGUUAUCCUGGGGAGGGCCCCAACUGUGGGAGGCACCUUUAAGCCCGUACCACAACCCAGACUAGAAGUCCCCGCUCGAACCGGGAGGCACAGGUUCUCCCAACAAAGGCGACUUCCCUGCGAUUCGAACUGGGGAGCAAACCCAGUCAAGCCACUUAAGGGGACUCCAUUCCCAGUGGAGCCAACACUUUGUUGGUUCCCACAAAUUUUUUAAUUACUCUCAAAGUGUAUCUUAUGUUGUUUUCUUGGUUGUUACAUUACAGUAGCUUUUAAUGUAAAACUAACACAAUGUUAUCUGAACUGUUACCAACAUACCACAGAUUUUCCUUCAUUCAUAAGCGCCAUAUGUAGAAAGUUUGUUUCUUGUAAAACAAGGUGCAUAUCGUAUGGUCACAUUACAGCUUUCAUUUGUUGUACUUAAUUGCUUGAUCUUAUCUCUUGCACCAUACGGUUGCUCUAGCUCUAUGCUCAGUCUUUUGUACAGCUCAUCGACAUUUGCUUAGUAAUGCCAGGACACAAGAAAGCCUAGGCUGGUCAAGAGAUGUGAGGAUACUGCUGACCUUCACUGGGGUAUUUUAACAAACAAUACAUUGCUUAUAACAAACACCUGUACAACCGACACUGAGGAAAUAAACAAAUGAUGGUGAUGCAGUACUAUGUUCAUGAAAAGUUUGGGUGACAAGAAAGUUCUGUAAUCAUGUAAUUUAGGAUUAAAAAGUUAUUUAUCUAGAUUUAUUAGGGUAGCCUAUGACUUUUUGGGGUUCUGUUAGUUUCCGUUGCUUUAGAAAGUUUUUUAAUGAGGCAAAGGCUCCAUUUAAUCUGUUGGUAAAAGUUUCUGUCAUUUAAGUAGUAAUUCUUUUGAUAUUUGACCAUAUCUGGUUACACAAGAUGAGAUCUAGCUAACCUGUUUAGCAUGCCUUUGCUUUAGAGAUAAAGCUGUUCAUUGCAUCUGUAUUCUGGCUCUCCUCAAUAUGGAAUGCAUAAUUUCCCUUGCUUUUGGCAUUGAACAGCAUAUAUUAUCAACUUUUGAGUCAGUUUCUAGGCUGAGUGGUAACUCUGUUAUACUGUUUAUAUCAGAUUAUUUCAAAUCCUUCUUCUGUAUUGUACUGGCACUAAGGAUAUGUAUUUUUGCUUCUGUAUCCUUGAUAUGAUAUUAAACUUAUUACCGCAACGCCAUGAAAGCAUCGUUUUCAUUUUCCAAAUACAUAGCAUCUAACUUUAUCUGCCUAAACGCAGAUGAUUCCACAAGAAUUUGUGAGGAAAUUUGGGUAUGAACUCUCAGCUGUUGCUACACUCGCAGUUCCUAAUGGUUGUGUUUGGCGAGUAGGUUUAACAAAAGAUGAGGGAAGCAUCUGGUUUCAGAAUGGUUGGCAUGAAUUUGUGGAAUAUCAUUCAAUUUGUGCUGGAUAUUUUGUUGUCUUCCAAUACAGAAAGAAUUCAAGCUUUCAAGUAUUUAUACUUGAUAACUUAACUUACUGUGGGAUUCAGUAUCCGUCCAAAAAUUCAUGCACUCCUUCAAAGCAUAAUGGCUAUGAGAUGCAAGGCGAGAGGCCCAGAAUGGAAGGGAUAGAGGAGAAAAAUGAACCGGGCAAUAUGAAUGAAUCGAUGCCAGGUGAAAUGAAUGUAUUAUGAUUUUGUACAAUGAAUCUGUUUACAUAUCUAUCUUAUUCUGUGUAGCUCAGUGUUUAGCAAAGUUACACUCUUUCAUCACCAACUCCGAAAAUUGCAGAUGAAAUUGAUAUCAUAAAAUUGCUUGAAGACAUGAGAAUCUGUGUUUGUGAAUCAAUGAAAUUUCUUUCAGUGAAGGAAAGACAAGCAGCAAUUGAGGCUGCUAAAAGCAUCGAGCCCGAAAAACCUUCAUUCCUUGUUGUCUUGCAAACAAGAAACAUGAUGGAACAUGUUGUGGUGAGCUCUAAAUUACUUUUCUUUUUGUUAUUUGUUUCAUAUCAUUCUUUCAAAUUAAGUUUAUAUAUAUUUUAUUAUUUUUUUUAAUGCACACGUAGUAUGUGCCAGCCACCUUUGCUCAGAAGUACUUGAGUGGCGACAGCCAUGUCGUAGCACAGGACUCCCGUGGUGGAAGUAAGUUGGCUACAAAAAUGAAAUCAUCUUCUGGUGAGUGUUUUCUGACAGGAUGGCUUGGAUUUUUCGAGGAGAAUCAUGUGAGAGAAGGAGAUAUUCUCAUACUUGAGAUGAUCAAGAAGAAGAAUAAGAACAUUCUUCUGAAAGUUUCAGUUGUUUACACAUAACUAGAGCAAUCUAAUUGUUGAAGUAGUUAGCUAAGUUUGAUGACUUUCGAAUCUAAGAUCUCCAUAAGCUGUCAGUUUUUCUUUUCUUGAACUGUCGUUAAAAUGCUUCAAACAGUCUCACGAACAUUUGUACUAGAGCAAGUAAUACAUUAGCUUUCUGUGCAUUGUUGGAUGCCUCCAGUGGGAAUUCAUGUGUUAGAAGUAAGAAGCAAAGGAUUAGGCAUGUUCAUUUGUAAAGCUUUUGCGGCAUACAGUUUCGUACAAACAAGAGCAGGAGCACCUCUUGAUGGUCAUUUGCUCUUUGGAAUGAGCAGCUGUCAUCAUCUUUUCAUAAUGAUUAAAAUUCUUUUCAGGUAAAUUAAGCAUUUGACUUAAAUUAAACAACUUUAGCGUUAUAAAUUUGAGACUUGAUAGAUUUCAAUUAUCCUUUUUCAGUUUUUCAAAAGUGUUUUCAUCCUAAAUUUAUUUAGAAUUUGAGAAGCCACCAUACCAUGUGCCUUGUGACUACAUAUUGAAAGGCUGUGAUUUGUUUAAUGACAUAUGAGUCUUUAUAUUUAAAUAAUAUUAUGUUAUUGACAUAAUUUUGUAGUAAAAUCUCGUAUAGGUCCCUACUAUAGUACUGUUGAUACCCCUCCAAAGUCGGUUAUAAAACUUGCUGUGGAAAUCAGCUUAUGUAGGACUUAUUUAUUAAAAGUUUUCACGAACAAAACAGAAUAACAGUCAAAUCAUUAGGCUUGUAUAACUUAUUAAUGGAUUUCCGGAGAGAAUCUAAUAGAAGACCCUUAUGGUAAAAGAAGAAAAAGAAAAUUGUAAACUUUUGGGAUUUUCUUUAAUUCACAUAUGCAUAAAAAAAAUAGAAGCAAUGCUUAAUAGAAUUUUCUUUUAAGCAAUAAUCAAUUGAAUAGAGAGAUGAAGUGAUUAGUAGUUUCAAAGUUAUGAGCAUCGUUUUAAGGCUUAGAAUGAAAAUAUUUAGAUAUUACUUAGCAAGCUGAGUAUUAUUCAUGCCUCUAGAGAUUUGAUCAAGUGAUUUUCUAAUAUUUUUUUUUUUGGCAACUUGAGUUUGAAUUUCAAAAAAAGUAAGAAUUGAAAAAUCAAUUGGGGCUUCCCCCAAUCUAAUUGUUGGUAGUUGUUUUUGGCAACUUGUGAAUUAACUUGACAUGAAAGCUAUAUGAUUUGACAAUCUAGUUAAAUGUGACAUCACUAUAAAUUUACUAAUUUUGUGAGACUCAAUAAUUAGUUAUCGCAUGACCAUAUAAUAUAAUGCCACAACAAUUAUUACGUGAUACAAACUUCAGAUUAUUUUGUAAGUUUAACAUUAUCGUUAAAAAAAUUCAUACCAAAUAUUAUGAUAGAAGUAAUGGGGAUAUAAGUACAUGGGGGUGGAGAUAUUUCUACUCCACUAUUUUUAUAAAUCCAUCUUACUUCCAAAAACUAAUUGUAAUAAGUUCAAUUUUUUUUAAAAUAUAAAAUUUAAUUAAAAUUUUUUAACAAGUAAUCAAUUAAAUUCUUUUUAUAAUUUUUUUAUUUAGGUAUCUAUGAACAUUAACGUUACUUAAGAUUAGUUUUAUUUGACUGUUUUUCGCUAAUAAUAUUUUUUUUGAAGAAGUUUUACUCUAAUAAUAUAAAAUAACUAAAUUGCUCUAAGAAAACAUGAGCGCUCGUAUUUAAUAGUUUCGAUAUUUAAUUUAAGAGUUAUUAUCUAAUAAGAGAUUCUAAAGUAAGGGAUCGAUUAAAAGAUAAAAAAAAUACAGAUUCAAAUAUAUUAUAGGAUAAAGUGCACUGUCAUGUGUGUUUUGUUGUCUUUUAUUUUAUAUCCCUCGUUAGAAAAUUACUCUUUAAUUUUAUUUUAUUAAAUCUUUCAAUUUCUUUUUUAUUUAUAUUUUUAAAAAAAAUUGUGAAUUUAUUAUAAUUAUUUUUUAGAAAUGAAAUGGAUUUGCAAAAGAUUUUUAUGAAAAUAUCACCACCCGAAUAUAUAUAUGCGCAUGCCGAACUAAUUAACCAAUGAGCCCAAAAUAUUUCAACCAAUUUGCAAAAACACCCUUUGGAAAAUGACAAUUUAACGAAAGAAGAACCAAUCGUACCAAAAGAUUUUACUCAUUGGCCACCAGAUCGCUUUAGGCUUGGCGAAAAGGCUGAGAUCGUGUCUGGCCCAAUGCAUAAUAUCUUAUGUUUGUUGUGAGUUCGUGCUUAUAAAUUUCUCGCCUUUCCCAUGAAAGUGUUCAUCCCUAGCACUGUCUUGCAAUUGAAUCAUUCUUUAGGUUUAUCGCAUAUACACUCCAACAAGAUUUUUGAAAUUCAAAAAAUAUCUCAUCUUUUUGCAAUCACUUAGCUCGAUUGCAUAAAUAUAUACAUAUAUACAUAUAUAUAUGGAAAUAAAAUUCGCUUCCGUCACUUACACAUCAAGUGUUGUUAGUGUUCAUGCUUGUAAAAUCUUGUUCUCACCAAGCGUUGCCGCAAGAGGCAAAAAUGGGCAAUCAAGAUUAAAUAGAAUUAUUGCUUCUAAUAUCUCUACUAAACCGCUGCAAGUGAAUCAACGGCGGUCGGCUAAUUACCAUCCUAGCAUUUGGAGUCCUGAACUCAUACACUACUAGAAAAAUGGGCUACCAUGACAGAGAAUAUCUAUCAUCCGACCUUGUUUAUGACAGAUUUUCUAUCUGUUAUUGUAGCCCCUCUCAUAAAUCUAUGACAGUAAUUUAUCUAUCACAAGUGUAUGUGACAGCUUAUAGCUAUCACAAAUGUGUCACAACAAAAGCAACAUCGUUUUAAUAUUUUAGUGGCAAAUUUGUUUUAUUGUGAAAAAAUAUUUGGCGGAUAUUAUGAAUUCAAUUUUAAAUUAUGGCACGUAAUUAUGUGUCGCAGCUUUAUGAUGCUAAUAUGGUGUCACGAUGAAAUUUUUUUUUAAAUAGUAAUAUUGUUAAAAGAAUUUUUAAUUUUUUUAAAAUCAAAUUUUUUUAAUAUUUUAAAUAAUAAUAAUAUUUUAAAUAAUUUUUAAUAUUUUUAAAUUAGAAAAUAAUUUUUAAUAUUUUAAAUAAUAUUAUUAUUAAAUAAUAAUAUUAUUUUAUAAUUUUAUAAAUUCCAUUGAAAUUUAAAAAUCAAAAUAUGUAUAAAAUCAAUACAUCCAAAUUAUCUCAACAAUAUUAUCAAAACAUCACUAAAUCAUCACUUGAAAUAACCAUAACAUUGUCAAAACAUCAUCUAUUCAAUCAUCACAAAUCUACAUCCCAACACUACCAUCUGGAUCAUUACCAGCAUACAAAAACAUCACAACACUAUAUAUCAUCUGAAACACUACCAGACUGAUCAAGAUUCACUACUACUUAAGACUUUAUCAAACAAUAUCAGCAUACAAAUUUCACUACCACUUAGACUUUAUCAAGAUUCACUAUCAUCUGGAACAAUACCAGCAUACAAAAUUCACUACCACUUAGCUUUUUGGGCAUCAUAUAUUCAAUCACUGGAAACUUCCAACAAAUAGUAUCAUCAAAAUACAUGGUGAAUCAAAUCCACAAUAAUAUCUCAUAAAUCAUUUACAAUAUCUAAUCACCUAAAAUAUCCAAUCACCAACCCAUCCUAGAAAAAUAAUUAAUCCAUAAAAAAAACAUUGUGGUAAAUUCCCAAAAGCCACCAACAUCACCUGAAAAGCAGAUUACAUUAAGAUGAGUACCAAAAAAAUGUAAAUUAACAUAUCGGCCACUUAUAGUUAAUCAAAUUCAUAAGGUGUCAUCACACAGUUCAAUAAUCAAGAAUAAUGAAGAAUUUCACAUGUGUAACAAAAACCUAUAAUUACUAACAAAAAUCAAUGUAACUUCAUUUUUGAACUCUUCCAUUCCUUGUCUGGAACCUUUUGACAGCCUUUUAAUUGCAAUUUCUUGCCUUUCUAUUUAUGUACCAUAGAUCUGCCUAUUAGUUAGUAUAAAAAGAAAAUAUGAUCUAAUUUCAGCAGAAUGCCACAAUAUUACCUUGGACACUGGCCCAAAUCUAAUUUCUCCCAGUUUAUUGUAACUUGAGAAGUUAUCUGUGGCCUUUGCUAUACUGGCAAAAUCAGAUUCCCAUAAUUCCAUAUCUUAUUUUCCUCCAUUAUUAUAAUUUUUCAUAUGAUUCAUCUUUGUUAAUCCUGAAAUUGUAGGAGAAUUCCAUCAUGUAAGCUCAUCAUGUAUUGACUGUUACCUGAUCACAUUUGUUUUAUGUAUGAAUUUUCUUUUGACCAUAUACUUCCCAAAGGUAAUUAGCCUACCAGGUAAACUGGUUGUCUGUUGCUUAAGUCACAACAUGUGAGACUUAAAACUAAAAUUUUGCUUUUGUUUACAAAAGGAAAAAAUAACAUGUAAACUUUUUAUUAGCUAAAAAAGAUGCUAAGUCUUUACACAUGCAUUACCUCUAAGGCAUAUUACCUCAUUAAUCUCAGCACUAGCAGCACCGUAGAGUUGCAUUUUGAACAACCUGCAAUCAGUGCCACACUCUUAAGUCAUUUUACGUGAAGCUGCUGCCCCAAACAAAAGAAUAAAUAAAUCAUUUUGAUACCAUCAAAGAAAGCCGACUAUCACUAGUUCCUCGGAGAAAAAUAUUAGUUUCCAAAAGUUCAGAGUACGACUACCAACUAGUAUUAUUAGCUCAAAGAGGGAAUAUACAAUACUUCUAAAGCGAAAUUUACAAGAGAAUAAAAAUUUUUAAUUGUUUAAGUAACAUUUAAUGUUCAGUCUAGGCAUUUAAUAGUUGUUUCAGUUGGCAUUUAUCUGGAGAAAAGUAAACAAAUAUCUACGUACCUAGAGCUUGCAUAAGUAAGUUCUUAGCAAUUCAUAUAAUAUCUACAAGAAGUAAUUUAUAGGAGAAGCCAACUUAUAGUUACAGCUGUAAUCACUAAGGCUUGAAAAAACCAAAUUAAUAAACUCAUUAACGCUUCAGACAUCAAAUAGAUAGAAGUUAUAAUUAUGUAACCUGGUACCCCCAAAGGAUCUUGUAAGUUGGCUUUAAUUUAACUUUAUCGAACUCCAUACAAGCAUUCUCGAAGAAGUAGUUACUGCCAAAGGAGCAAUUUGGCUUCAGUCAACUUAAAUUGGAAUCAUAAAACUACAACAGUACUAUGAAUGUAUUAUAAUACAAACUAGUAAUAUCUCAAAAAUAACUAAAUAAAUAAAUAAAACCAGCAUUAUCAUAAGUGAUUCAGGACUGACAAUAUAGUAACUAAGCUUAGGAGUUCAUGAGAUCCAUCACUGACACAAGUUGCAAAUCGUAUUAAGUACAUCCCAACAAGAGCUUGUGCCUUUUCUUGUUAAAUGUCUUAAUAAUUUAUAAGAAAACAAAAUUAUCUGCAAAGAAUCAAGCAGUUUAUAAAGAUUAUUGACAUACUACAAAAAUGAAAAAGAAUAGCGUUGAAAAAGGGGCAUUUGUUCCAAACAAACUUGAUUAACUGCUUCUGAAAGGUGAAUAUCCUUACAUCUAUUUGUUUCAAGUGGCUAGAGAAGGUAGAUAAAGAUUGUGACAAGGACUGUUCAUCACCAAUAUAAGCAAGAACUGAAUCAAACCAAGGAACCUUUGCAUAUUCUGAAGAUAAAACGUAAAGGCUUGCAUAUUGAGUAACCCAGUGCAGGUUAUAUAAUAGCAGAAUAAUCACUUAUAUGAAUAGCAAUCAGAUCGAUCAAAAUUGUGACAAGGACUGUUCAUCACCAAUAUCAGCAAGAACAGCGUUUAGAUCACAGAAAAAUCAAAUCAAAUCAAAAGAAUAUAAUAUAAGAAAAAGAGGAAGUAAAGACCUAGCUGAACUUGAGCGUGUUGUUCAUCGGCAAGUAGUAGCAGCAGCAGAUCGAAGAGUAAGGAUGAAGACGAAGAGUAGAAAUUUGUUGUCGGCAAGCAGCGCAGCAGAGGACCAAAUUUUUUGUCGGCAGCGUGAUUUUGUUUUUGUGUGUGAUUUGGAAAUUAGGGUUUGCCAUUUGAAGUCAAAGGAGGGUCUACCACUUACAAUUUUUUUUUUUCAAGAUACAGUGUCGUUCUAUGCCUAAAUUAACCCAUUCAAAACUCAUCGUUUCAUUAAAUAUUAAUAUGCUAUCAUGUGUAUGUGAUAGAUAAAUAAACUAUCACAAAUUUAUCAUGCUUUUAUGAUAUAUAAAAAUUUUAUCACAAAUAUAUUAUAUUUUUGUGAUAAAUGACUAAUUUUUGAAUAUCUAUCACAAAAAUUCUGUCAUAAUAGCUUAUUUUUCUAGUAGUGAUAGAGUCAUUUACCACCGAUUAUACAGUAAGUAACUAGAAUUAAUGCAUUUAUUAAUAUUCAUUUGCUUAACAAGCUAUCUUAUUUACUUUGUUUCCAACAUCAAUUUAGCUUAUGUUUGUACAUAUCUACCAGUAUGAUUUACAAUUUAAGCUCUCAAAAUUCUCUACUCUCUAAACAAUAAAUUACCUCUCACAAAUGGGAUGAUCUUGCUCUUCCUUUGCACUCCAAUCUAUAGGCAACAUAAUGCCUAAAUAAUCAACAAUUAUGGCCUAAAAAUUCAACAAUUAUAGGCUAUUAAAAUUCAAACUUUUACAUACCAAAUUGGUGCCACCAACCCAAAGUCAAGCACCAAGUCCGGUGCCAACAACUAUGGUCAAUUUUGAUAUUCUUCCACAUGGAGAUUUGAUUGAGAAUCAAUCAUAUCUCCACACCAUCCUUUUUGCUUCACUAUUGUCAUAUUGCUUACAUCACUACUAGGCCACAAGAGGAUGUACUCCAUACAAACUUGUCAAUAUUGAUUGGCUUAGUGAAAAACAUAUGCUAUAUUCUCCUUGGUAUGGAUUUCUACAAAAUCCACACUUUCGUCUUCCACUGCUUUUCGAACAAAGUAGUAUUGUACCCCUAUAUGCUUUGUGGCUUUAUUUACAACAGAAGCAUAAUACAUUACAGCUACACAAGUUUGCAAAGAAGCUAUUUAGAUGCAAAGAUUAUUGGAGAAGCUCAGACACAAACAAGAGAAAAUUACUGUGUUUUGUGAUCUACAGUUUUGAAACUAACUUACAACUCCUCCUGCAAGUGUAAACACAUAGUUAGUAGUGGAUUUUCUUUUAUCAAGAUCUCUUGUAAAAUUUUAAUCCAUAUAGCCUCUGACAAUAAAUUUUGAUUCUCCGUAAUAUAAUGCAACAUAUGAGGUUCCCCUAAUGUAUCUAAGAAUCCUCUUUACAGUUUUUUAAUGCUCUUCACUAGGAUUUAGAUAUAUCUAUUGCCCGCUCCCACUGCUUGUGCAAUGUCUAGUCUUGUACAAAUCAUAGCGAACAUUAAGCUCCCACAGCUGAUGCAAGUGAUACUUGAGAAAUUUGCUUCCUCUCUAAUUCAUUGCUAGGACAAAUGCUUGAGGAUAACUUGAAAUUGACAGGAAGUGGAGCAGAAAUUGGCUUAUAAUCUUGCAUGUUGAAACGCCGCAAUAUUUUCUUCAAGUAAUUCUUCUGUGAAAGCUAAAUCUUCCUAUUAUUUCUAUCUCGAUGAAUUUUCAUCUCUAGAAUCUUGUUUACUGGUCCUAAGUCCUUCAUUCCAAACUCCCUUGCCAAUUGUGCAUUCAAUUCUUGGACUCAAUCAUUCUUGCAGCCUGCUACUAACAUGUCUUCUACAUACAAUAGCAAAAUGAUGAAAUCAUUAUCUUCAAACCUCUUACAAUACGCACAAUGGUAUAAACUGAGUCUGUUGUAUCCAAGGCUCAUGAUGAAGGGAACAAAUCUCUUAUACCAACAUCUCAACGCCUGUUUGAAACUGUAUAGAGAUUUUUUCAACCUAUAAACCAAGUUCUUCUUCCUUGUUUUAGAAAAACCUUCUGGUUGGAGCAUAUAAAUCUAUUCUUUAAGUUCUCCAUUAAAAAAAUGCACUUUUCACAUCUAACUGCUCUAGAUGUAGGUCAAAUGUAGCACACAUUGCCAAGACUACUCUGACUGUCAUGAGUCGAACCAAAAGAGAAAAUAUCUCGUUUAAGUUAAUGACUUCUUUCUGAACACAUCUUUUCAUCACCACUUUGACACAAUACUGCUCCACCUAGCCAUUGCCAUCACAUUUUAUCUUGUAGACCCAUUUUUUUCUAAUGGCUUUUCUUCCACAUGGUAGUGGUACAAGUUCGUAUGUCUUGUUCUUGUAUAGAGUUUUAAUUUCUUCCUAUAUUGUUGUCAUUCACAAAGGAACAUCUGAACUAUUUAAAUAUUCAUAGAAAGUUGAUGGCUUCCCAUUCUCUUUUAGAAGACAGUAUGCAACAUUGACGUUAUUUCUGUAACAAUGGCACCAAGUUCAUCUCUUCGACAAUUCGCAGUAGAUUUUGUUAAAUUGGAGCGGUUCGAUGGUGGCAACUUUAUUCGUUGGCAGAAAAAGUUGCAUUUCUUGUUGACAAGCCUCAAUGUAGUCUGUGCUCUCACAACACCAAAGCCUCAAGAACGUGAGGAUGAGACACUAGCGGAAACCAGAGUGCGGCAGAAGUGAAAGCAAGAUGACUACAUGUGCAAGGGACACAUUUGCAAUACCAUGUCUGAUACUUUGUUAGAUCAAUACCACAACAAACCUACAACAAAAGAAAUAUGGGACCCAUUAGAGGCUAAGUACAUGAUGGAAGAUGCCACAAGUAAGAAAUUCUUGGCUUCUAAAUUUUUUAAUUUCAAAAUUAUUGAUAAUAGACUUGUGGUUGAACAAUAUAAUGAGAUUUUUUAUAUUCUUGAUCAAUUCAACCAAUAUAACACGAAAAUGGAUGAGUCUAUUAUUGUCUCUUCAAUUAUUGAUAAAAUUCCUCCCUCUUGAAAAGGCUAUAAGAAAAGUCUUAAACAUAGCAAAAAGGAAAUUAGUCUGGAUGGCUUAGGCCAAAGCCUUCAUAUUGAAGAGGAACUCAAGCUUAAUAGUCUUGAGGAUAAGGCUGUUAUGUCCUAUAAAAUUAAUGUUGUGGAGGAGAAGAAGGAGGUUAAGCAUUCUAAUCACCCUAAGAAUAACCAAAAGAGAAAGUUUGAUUUCAAAGAGAAUCAAAACAAUAAAAAAAAAGUACAUGCCACCGCUGCGGAAAACCUGGCCACUUCAAAAGAUAUUCUCGACUUCUGAAGAAACAAAAGGAAGUUUUCAACACAAAUUUUGUGGCCAUGAUAUCUAAGAUUAAUGUUCUUGAAGAUGAUAAUGCAUGGUGGAUAGAUUCUAGUGCAACCAAGCAUGUAUACAAGGAUCGUACCCUUUUCAAAUCUUAUGAAGCAAUGGAUGAUGGAAGUGUUCUUUACACGGGAAAUUCCUCCACUGCAAUAGUUAAAGGAAAAGGCAAUGUGCAACUAGAGUUUACUUAUGGAAAAACUUUAACUCUUACUGAUGUUCAUCAUGUUCCUAAAGUUAGAAAAAAUCUUGUGUCUGGUAGCCUUCUUAAUAAGUUUGGCUUCAAACUUGUUUUUGAGUCAAACAAGUUUAUAUUAUCUAAGGGUGGUACCUUUUUUGGGAAAGGAUACAUGUAUGAGGGAAUGUUUAAACUUAAUAUCAAUAAUAUGAAUGUUUCUUCUACUUAUAUGGUUAACUCAUUAUCUUAGUGGCAUAAUCGUUUAGGACAUGUGAAUAUUAGAAAAUUGCAUGAUAUGGCUAAUUUAUAAUUAAUUCCUAAAGAAUGAAAAUAAUAUGCAUGAAAAAUGUAAAGUAUGUGCACAUACUAAAAUCACAAGAUCUCCUCUUCCAAAAAUUGAAAAAACAUCUUCUUUAUUGCAUUUAAUUUAUAGUGAUGUAUGUGAUAUGCAUAGUACAUUAAUAGAAAUUACAUACAUCACUAUAAAUGGUUAAUGCUAUGCUUUUUAAAGUUGGGCUUGACAAACAUUUUUGGGGUGCAGCUAUUUUAACUGCAAGUCAUAUCUUAAAUAGAGUGCCUAAUAAGAAAACAAAAGUGGCCUCAUUAUGAAUUAUGGAAAAAGAGAAAGCCUAAUAUUUCUUAUCUAAGAGUUUGGUGUUGUCGAGUCAUUGUAAGACUACCUAAAUCUAAGAUAAGGAAAUUAGGAGAAAGAGGCAUUAAAUGCAUAUUCUUGGGAUAUGCUGAGCAUAAUAAAGCUCAUAGGUUUCUUGUAAUAGAACUUAAUAGCUCUGUUGAGAUCAAUACUAUAGUGGAAUCUAGAGAUGCAAUAUUUUCUGAAAAUAGAUUUUCCACUAUACCAAAAAGUAUUGAUUUUCAAAAUAAUGAUAAACCAAUAAAAAUUGGUCAUAAACUAAUGCUAAUAAUGAGAAAAAUCAAUUGAGAAGAAAUAAAAGAAUAAGGACUAUAAAAUCAUUUGGACCAGAUUUUAUAGUAUAUUUAGUUGAAGGGACAAGAGACUGACAAUCUAAACAAACCAUGAUCACACCUGAAAUUCUAGUUAUGCAACCCAAGAGGGGGGUGAAUUGGGAUUUUAAAAAUUAAGCUAAGCAAAUCACACAAUAAUUUAAUCUAAUGCCUUAAUGGAAUCAAAAACAAUAAAUUCAAUAAAGCAUAAUAAUAAAGGAGUAAGGGAAGAGAGAGCAAACACAAUGAUUUUUACGUGGUUCGGUAAUCCCCGCCUACGUCCACGCCUCCAAUCUCACCGGGCUUGAGGAUUUCACUAAGCAAGCCUCCAAGACUUCAAAUGCUAACAAUUAACUUCCAAGGUGUCAAUGGACCUUCGCAACAAGAGAUUAUCCCCAAUCUCUUAACCCAAGUAUAUCACAACACUUACAAUCUCUUAACUUGAUUUUACAAAAAGGAUUACAAAUGAAUUUCUCUCACACAAUGUGUUUGAUCACAAAUGAAAGCUCAAUGUGUGAAUGAAUAAGAUGAAUACAAGAAUUUAAAGCUCAAUGAAAAUUGUAUGCUCAAUAUUUUGCUCAAUGAUAAUCGUUGGAAUUAUUUUUGUUUGAAUUUGAUUGAGCUUAUUUAUAGUUGAAGCUAAAAACUAACCGUUAUUGACUUUCUGCUCACUGUCUGAUCGCCUUAACUAGAUGUCGGAUCGCUGUUUUGACUGGUCAAUAUGACCGUUGGGCUGAAUUUUUAAAUUGUCGGAUCGUCGUUUUCUAGAUGUCGGAUCGCCGUUAGUGUCCAGAGGAUACUCUUCAAUUUUGCUCGAUGUUAGCUAGCCGUUAUCAAGAUGUCGGUUAGCCGUUUGCUACAGUGACUGCUACAGUGAACUAUUUCCUAAAAUUAUAGUUUGACCCUAAAACGUUCCAUAAUUGUACUAUGGCCCAAAACGUUAUAAAUUUUACAAAUAUAUCCAAUUUCAUAAUCUCAAAGUAAUGCUUGCUAUUCUCAAAACUUUUUAAAAUUAUGAUAUGGCCCAAAAUGCUAUGAAACUUUUCAAAUAAGUCCUUAUCCAAAAUUUCAAGCAAUACAUGUUGAUUUCAAAGUUUUCAAAACUUUUUCAAUUAAACCAUAAACUUGAAAAACAAUUAAUUUCAUAAAAUCAUUUUUACAUUAAACAUAAAACCUUUAUAAUGUGAAAAUAAUGAUUUAUUUAAAAUGUAUAAAAAAAUAAUUUGAGCUUAAAAGAUUAAUCAUUCUUAAUCUUGUUUGUUAUCAUCAAAAUCAACAUUAUGAAAACAUAUAUGUUAACAACACCUACUAUAGAGUUUGAUCCCCUCACCUAUGAAGAGGCAAUGAAGUCUCAAGAUAUUGCCUUUUGGAAAGAGACCAUUAAUGAUGAAAUGGACUCUAUUAUGGGUAAUAAGACUUGGAAAAUAGUUAAUUUACCACCUGGAUCUAAUCCUAUAGGUUGUAAAUGGAUUUUCAAGAGGAAGAAGAAAGUUGAUGGAACAAUUGAAAGAUUUAAAGCAAGAUUAAUAGCGAAAGGCUUUACACAAAAAGAAGGUCUUGAUUAUUACGAUACUUAUGCACCUGUUACAAGAAUUGCUACUAUUAGAGUCUUGAUUGCUUUGGCUUCAAUUUAUCAUUUUGAAAUCCAUCAAAUGGAUGUAAAACUUGCUUUCUUAAAUGGAGAGCUAGAUGAGGAAAUUUACACGAAACAACCAGAAGGAUUUGUUAUGCCAGGACAAGAACAUAAAGUUUGUAAAUUAGUCAAGUCUUUAUAUGGCCUUAAACAAGCUCUAAAGCAGUGGCACGAAAAGUUUGACAAAGUGAUUGUUUCAAAUGGAUUUAAUAUUCAUGAAUCUGAUAAAUGUGUAUAUAGUAGAUUCAAAGGAAAUAAAGGUAUGAUUAUUUGUUUAUAUGUAGAUGACAUGUUAAUUUUUGCUAUUGAUAGUGAGAGCAUUAAACGCACUAAAUCAUUAUUGUCAUCUAAUUUUGAUAUGAAAGACAUGAGGCUUGCUGAUGUGAUUUUGGGGAUUUAAAUUAUCAAAAAUGAGAAUGGCCUAGUAUUGACCCAAUCACAUUAUAUUGAGAAAAUUUUUAAAAAAAUUCAAUCAUUAUGAUUGUAAGCCUGUGUCAACACCUUUUGAUUCAAACAUAAGAUUGUACCCUAACACUGGCAGAUCAAUAUCCCAAUUAGAAUAUGCACGUGUUAUUGGGUGUCUUAUGUAUGUGAUGACUUGUACUAGGCCUGACACUUCUUUCGCUGUUGGAAAGCUAAGUAGAUAUACUGGUAAUCCAAGCCAAGCACAUAGGCAAGCAGUGUACAUUUUUCUAAAAUAUUUAAAACAUAAAAUGGAUUAUGGUAUAUACUACACUCGAUAUCCUUCAGUUUUGGAAGGAUUUUCAAAUGCUAGCUAGAUUACUGAUUGAUAUGAUCAUACUUCCACAAGUGGUUGGAUUUUUAAUCUUAGUAGAGGAGCUAUUUCAUGGGGCUUAAAGAAGCAAACUUGUAUAGCAGAUUCCACUAUGGCUGUAGAAUUUGUAGUUUUGGCUUCAUGUUUCAAGGAAGUUGAAUGGUUAAGGAAUUUGCUUAUAGAAAUUCUUAUUUGGCCUAAACCAAUGCCUCCCGCGUCCAUUCAUUGUGCUAGUGAGGCAACUUUGUCUAGGGGCAAACAGUCAAAUCUAUAAUGGAAAGUCUAGGCACAUUGGUCUAAGACAUAGUUAUGUGAGACAAUUACUUACAGACGGAGUAAUCACAAUUGACUUCGUGAAAUCAUGCCAAAAUUUGGUGGACCCCUUAAUUAAAUGCCUUGAAACGGAUAUUGUAUUAAAAACUUCUAAGGGGAUGGGACUGAAGCCAACAUCAUCUUAUCACCAAUGAUAAAUACUCAAUCCAACACUUGAAAUGUCAAGAUCUUGGGUUCAAUGAGCAAAAGUACAUCAUAUGUUGUGAUAGCAAUCACUAUAAUAUUUUAAGAAGCAUCCCAAAGGUCUGUGCUUGAUACCUAUAACAUAUAGGAAAUGUUAAGGUACUUAGUUUUUAACAGACUUACAAAUAUUUUAGUUACAAGGACAUUAUAGAUAAGUCUACCUAUGUGAGUGUAGGAGGCGGUGUCGCUUCCUAUGUAACUUGGCUGGUUACUAAAGCGCUCAUAAAAAUAGGAUAUAGACACAGGGCCAAUCCAUGUUUUAGCUAAAGAAUACUUGAGAAUUUGAAAACUUAUGUGUCAGACAUAUCCGGUUAGUCGAAUAAGGUCAUUGGUUCAAAGCUUGCCUACCAUGCCACUUGAUUAACUUUGAUGUGUUGUCACUAAGUGAAGGUUCAAGUCCAAAAGACACCUUCAUCUAUGCAUAAGUUUUCCAAGCCUGUGCAAGAUAAUUUUUCAAAAUUCAUUUAUUUUAAAAAUGGUGGGGGAUUGUUGGAAAUUUUUUCAAAAUAAAUGGUGUCUUAUUGUAAAGACAUGUCUAAAUAAAUAAUGUCUUAUUGUAAAGAUAUGUCUAAAUGAAUGAUGUCUUAUAGAAAAUGCAUCUUUUCACUUAAGGAUAUAACCUUUCAUGACUUUGCACUUAGAGAUGCAUCAUUUCAUGGUGAGAUUUCGUUUGAAAUGGUGAUGGUUCAAUUUGGACCGUUAAUUAAAAUUAAAUCUUGAUCCAAUGGCCACGAAUAAAUGGGUAUCAUGAAAGAUGAUAACCCAAAUGAAGGGGCACAAGUAUGUCUAUAAAUAGAGGUCAUGUUUAAGUCAUUUAGACAUGAAAAUAAUGAUCCCACACCACUCUUUUCUUAUCCCUCUUUUCUAGAACGAAAUUCAACAUAAAACUCUUAUUUUUGUUCAUUAAAAAUCCAAUAUAUUGUUUUCUAUAAGAAUAAUAUAUUGUUUUCUUGGCAGGCUUGUAACAUUCAAGAGUAUUCUAGUUUGCUUUCAUCGAUACACAACGCAAGUAAACAAACAAGUGCUUCAUUGUAUCUUGGAGGCAUAUUUGCUUAACCCAUGUGCAUCACUCAAUUGGUGGGGGAAAAUAACGUCUUAAGGAAAGUGACAUUUGUAACGUGCCUUGAAGUACACAUUAUUUUCUACAGUUUACCUAUAACUAUUAUUUUUUUCCUACACAUAGCUUUGUAAACACAUUACUUUACAUACUAAAGUUCCACCAUUAUUAUUGUAUUUCUCUACAUUUUCCAUUCCCCACAAUUACACAAUACAACCAACAGUUUCAUGUCUUCUGCAAUUUCUUGAUCAAAACAAUUUAUAUCAGCCUGGUUUCUUAAUUCUGGCCACAUUUACCAUGCCACUGAUGCGCAUCUUAUUGCAGAUACCCAGUUGCAUUUAGAAAUAUGAAAUAUUAUUAUGACCUGUAAUGGGAUAGGAUAAGUAGUAAAAAGGAAAAAAAAUUGGGGUAAAGCAUGGCAAUAUUCCAAAUUUAUGACAACAGAAAAAAUAAAGUCUUUGAUAAAUGAGCAUUGCUGAAGUGACAAAAAAUUAGAUAAAACAUUGAUAAGAUAACUGUAAGCACUAAAUGGGGCCAUUUUAGUUGCUUAUUGUUUGACAAUGUAAAAUAGAUAAAGUUAGCAUUUGUCUCUUUAGUAUUUUUCUUAAUACAUAAAAGAUAAUACAACCAACUGGUAAUUGUGUAAAAUAUACAUAUGAAUUUAAUAUAAGUAAGAUUUCUAUGGUGGUUUUUUCAAAUUAAAUGCGUACGUGGCAAAUUCUAGAAUUUCUCAUGGUUUGAUUUUGUAAAGAGAAAUGAUAAAGGAACAAAGGGAAGACAAAGGGACGACAGAAACGGUAGCAUGCCGUUUCACGUGUUCCUUCAUCCAAUUUUGUUCCUUUAGUGGGACCGCCAAUAAAUAGUAAAAUAAAGAAUAAAAAGUUCUCCACUCACUUCGGCCCCUCCACUUGUUCUUCACGUGUUGCUUUCUCCAUUCAUCCCCUCUAAAAUGCACUGAAUUUUUGCAUAAUAUUUGAUUUCAAUAUUAGUUUUGCAUUUUACAUAAUGUUUAAUUUAAAUGCCGAUAUUGAUCAAUUUAUACCUAUUAAGAAGUAAUUAAUGAUUAUUUGUUUUGUUUAUACAUAUUAAGAGGAUAGUUACUGAACUUUUCACUCUAACAAUUCUAUAUUAAUAGGAUCCAGAGAUGCAUGCUUAGAAAUUUAAAUUUAUUACUCCUUUUAAGGAACACGGUUCUUACUAAUAUUUUGCAUUUUCCAUAUAAUUAGGAUUAGGAAUGCAAGAAGUAAUUUGGGCAUAUUAUAUUUUAUAUGAAUUUUUCCAAUGUAGAAACAAAAUGCCUACUCAAAGCUGUUAUGUUGUUUUCAAAGGACGAAAGCCGAGCAUAUAUAAUUCUUGGCCUGAAUGCCAGAAGCAAGUAAAUAAAUUCAAAGGGAAUGCUUAUAUAUAUGUAUGUAUGUAUGUAUUUUACAGAAUGAUCAUAUAUAUAUUAAUUACGUGAUUUGUGAUAAUUUUUGUGUGAUAAGUUGAUUUGGGAAAUAUAGUAUUAAUGCUUAAAUGCAUUGAACUUUUAGCUCUAAAAUGCACUGAAUUUUUGCAUAAUAUUUGAUUUCAAUAUUAGUUUUGCAUUUUACAUAAUGUUUAAUUUAAAUGCCGAUAUUGAUCAAUUUAUACCUAUUAAGAAGUAAUUAGUGAUGAUUUGUUUUGUUUAUACAUAUUAAGAGGAUAGUUACUGAACUUUUCACUCUAGCAAUUCUAUAUUAAUAGGAUCCUGAGAUGCAUGCUUAGAAAUUUAAAUUUAUUUAAUACUUUUAAGGAACACAAUUCUUACUAAUAUUUUGCAUUUUCCAUAUAAUUAGGAUUAGGAAUGCAAGAAGUAAUUUGCGCAUAUUAUAUUUGAUAUGAAUUUUUCCAAUGUAGAAACCAAAUGCCUACUCAAAGCUGUUAUGUUGUUUUCAAAGGACGAAAGCCGAGCAUAUAUAAUUCUUGGCCUGAAUGCUAGAAGCAAGUAAAUAAAUUCAAAAGGAAUGCUUAUCAAUCUUAUAAAUUUUUGUUGGAUGACGAAACAACAUAUAAUGAGCACAAAUAAAUGCAUGAAAAAUUGCCAGAGACAUCCAAUACGUUAGAAAGUACAAAAUUUAUUGUGGAAACAUGUGAAAAGGGAAAAGAUGCAUUAGCAGAUUUAUUUUCUGACUUGCCGUUACGGCCACAUGCAAAUAUUGCAUAUUUGACAAUCCCAUUAGUUCAUUUCUUAGUACUUCGAACCUUCACAAGAAACCAUUCUUACUUACCAUAGGCUUCGUAAAAUACAAACAUUUCUUCAUUACUAUCAGAUAACAUUCCAACUAUUGGCUCAUAUUUUUUCGGUUGCACAAUUCCAACUGCAUUGUCGGCUCCUGUUUCUUCUAACUCUUCAAAUGCAUGCCCAUUUUCCAAAUUCUCCAUUUCUACAAAAUAAUUAACAUUUGCAUUAAGAAUAAGUAAUUAUAAAUUUUUAUUACAUUUUUGUCCAGUAACAAAAAUCCUAACAAUUUAAAUAUACGAAACACAUCCACUAAUUUUUAUAAAUUUAUUCCAUUAUUUCCAGCUAUCUAAAUUAAAAAAAUUCUAACAAUUUAAAUAUAUAAAACACGUCAAAAUAUUGUUCUAAAUUUAAUCCAUUAAUUUCUAACAAUUUAAAUUAAAAAAUCCUAACAAUUUAAAUAUAUAAAACGCAUCCAAAUUUUUUUAUAAUUUAUUCCAUUAUUUCCAGCAAUUAAAAUUAAAAAAAAAUUCCUAACAAUUUAAAUAUAUAAAAUACAUCCAGAAAUUGUUAUAAAUUUAAUCCAUUACUUUUUAUCAAUUAAAACUAAAAAAUAUAUAUAACAAUUCAUAACAAUUUAAACAUAUAAAACGCACGCAUCCAAGAAUUUUUACAAAUUUAAUCCUCACUUUCUAACAAUUUAAACUGAAAAAAAUUCUAACAACUUAAAUAUAUAGAACACAACCAAAAGUUAAUUUUAUUUUAAUGUCAUGGGAAAGUGAAAGUUACCAAUUAUCCGGCUACAAUUUCAUCAAUGUUGUUGGUGUAGUCUUUGGUACCAUGAAUGUAGAUCUUCGGAUAAUGACCGCUGAUUUUACUUCAAUUUUCUUCUAUUAAUGCAAAUGCAGCUAUGAGUUCGUCAGUUUGGCUUCGUCAAGUUUGAGGGAUAAUGACGAUUUUAGCUUUUGUCAUUACUUUUUUAUUUUAUCAUUUCCUUUUCGUUACUUUUGAUUCUCUUUUCAUUAUUUUAAUAUUUUAUUUUCAUAUUUUAACUUUUAAAUGAAAAAGCAACAGACAAAGGGACUCCGUUUCUGUCGUCCCUUUGUCUUCCCUUUGUUUGUUUAGCACGACUCGUCCUUUACAUAUUAUUUGCUUACAAUAUUAAUCCAAUCAAAAGUGGAUUAAGCUAAUUAAUAAGAGAGCUUCUUAUUAAUAAUAAUAAUAAAAAGAAGACACAAAAUUAAUAUAACCAACGAUAAAGUGCUUUAUUGGCUAUAAACUAUAUAUACAUAUACAUAUUUGAUGUGGGGCUAAAUGGUAAUAGGGACAGCACGAAGGGAUUGAGCCUUCUGUAAGGUUAUACCAAAUUUCUCUUCCAUGUCCAUCUUCUCAUCUUCAAGCUUCCAAUCAAAAGAGUUAAUAAGUGAACCUAACAUUAUAUGUAACAUUCUGAUUGCCAAUGGCAAACCAGGACAAAUUCGUCGCCCAGCUCCAAAGGGGAUUAGCUCAAAAUUGCGGCCUUUGACAUCAAGAUCUGAUCCCAAGAACCUUUCGGGCAUGAAAAUGAGAGGGUUGUCCCAUGUGCUUUCAUCUCUGCCAAUAGCCCAUGCAUUGACUAAAACUUUUGAACCUUUUUGCACUGUGAAGCCAGCGAUCUCUACGUCUGUUGAGGCUUUACGGGGGAGAAAUAAGGGAGCUACUGGGUGCAACCUGAAGGUUUCUUUGAGUACUGCUUGUAGAUAAGGUAAUCGAGUGAUGUCUGAUUCCUCAAGUGGUUUGCCCCUGCCAAUUGUUUGUUCCAGCUCCAAUCUUGCUUUUGAUAAAGCCUCUGGGCUAUGGAGUAGCUCUGCCAUCGCCCAUUCCAAUGUGCUCGAAGUUGUGUCAGCCCCCGCAACAAACAAAUCCUGUCAUAUAAAAUUUUAUUAGAUAACUUGAAAUUUGUGCAAGAAAGGAAACAAAAUAAACAAUACCAAAAGCAAAUGUUUGAUGUCAUUUCCAUCAAUCUCCGCACUCUUGUCUUGGCUAAUAUUGAGAAGAGUAUCCAGCACAUCUGAAGAUUCGGUACUAGUAUUGUAACCAUGUUCUUGUCUUUGAUCCAGUCUUUGAUCAAUCAAGCGAUCAAACACCUCAAAUAUCUUGCUGUAAUGAAUUGUCAUGCGACGCCUUAUCCCCUGCAGGUCAAGCUUUUCAAGCAGAGGAAAAUUGUCGGACAGAUUAGGCUUUCCUAGUUCUGUCAUGAUACCCCAAACUAUAUCCUUAAACUCUCGCGCAGUGGGAUCAACCAAAUCGACGGAAAAAAUUGUGUUGGAUAACACAUUAAGUGAAGUAUUGAAAACAGCUUGGCCAAUCACUAUUGCUUGCCCCACACGGCAAUUUUCUUCAACAUAAGCAAGUAGAUGCUUGAUUUUCUUGCGCCGGAUGUCUUGAUUGGCAUCAAGUUUGUGACUAGAGAAAAUAUGUAAGUUGCAUAUUUUUCGUAGAUUUUUCCACGGUGUUGAGACAGGAAGCCAGACCAUCCCAAUUUCUUGGUGAUUGUAGGAACAGGCUGCAUCCGGGACCAUCCGGUUACAGAAUGAUGAAUCAUGAUUUUGAAGGAUAGCUUUUGCCAUGCUUGCUGAAGAAACCACUACGGUGGUUACCUGGCCAAAUUUUAGAGUCAUUAUGGGGCCGUGAAUCUUGGCAAGCUUGGCUAGUGACUUGUGCGGUUUGUCACCAAGUUCGAGGAGGUUUCCAAUCACUGGAUAAGGCGUAGGCCCCGGCGGCUGCUGUUCGGAUCCUGCUUUGCGUCUCUUGUAAAAGGAACUCAAAGCCAUCACAAAAAGCCAAGUGAAUACAAGCCAUAAUAUGCAGCUUAACAUAUGAUCCAUCUUUAAAACUCUCAUUAACAAUCGAUCACUAUCUUUAUAGAGAGGACUUUAGUAUUAGUUUACUCGUUUCUUUGUCAUUUAACUAGCAUUUCAAAUAAAACGGCCAGAAUUUGCCACUACGCAUUUACUUGAUAUCUCCAUCUCAUAGUUUUCGUAAACCCACCCGUUUUUCAGAAAAUAGUUACAAAAAGUGUACAUUGUUUUUAAAAUUUUCAAAUAAAGAAGAAUUUUGAAGAAUUAAUUAAUUAAAUCUAUCUUAGUUUACUUUUUUAGACUUAUUUUUUUAUUAUAUUUGAUUACAAAGAUCGUUUUGGCAUCAGUUUGAAUUGAGUAUUUUACCCUUAUAAAGUAAAACUAAUAAGAAUUUACUUUUACUUCAAUAUUUUUCUAAUUUUAUACAAAACUCAUUGUUUUUAAUACUACCUUAUUAGCAUGAUUAUUAAUCUUUAAUUAAAAUAACAUAAUGUAUGUAUAUCACAACACUCAUGUAAUAAGUUAUUCGACUGUUAAAUUUAUGUAAUUUACAAGUAAGGAUAGUGAAAAUUUAGAUUUCAUUUAAAAAUAUUAGAUUAUAAGUCACAAAAUUAAAUACCUAAACUAUUAGAUACAAUAACUCAUGUUUAUUGGGAUAAUUUGGUUGUUUUGUAUUGUAAUAAUAAAAUGAUAAAAUAAAACUUAUCUUAAAGUUUAUGAUAAAAAUGGUCAAAGAAACCUAAGAAAAAAAUUAAUAGAAGGAUUUAAUUGAUUAAUAAUACAAAACCUUUUAUUAAUUUGUAGUUAUUAAAAAAAUUGAGCUCAUUGUAAUUAUUUUUUAAAAGUGGGGUGGAUUACAAAAAUAGUGGGUUGGAAAUAUCUCCACCCACAUGUAAAACUUGAAAUAACAAAGGAUCAUUUUAAUCCUUUAUUAAAUCCUUUAUGAAAACUCAUUUGCUAUUUUAAUUCAACUGUUGAGAUAAUGCAACUUGGUUAGUGCCAUUGUGUUGAGAAAUUAAUUUUCUCUAAACUCGGAAAAUGAGAGUUGACAAUUGGCAUGCGUUUUGCAGGAAGAAGUUUAGCUAGUUUCACUUAAUUUGAAAGUUUGCAGGGCUUUAAAUGUCCACUCCAAAGAAGAAAUUUAGCUAAUUUCAUUUCAAGGUUUUAACUGGCAUAAAAUGUUCAAUAAAAUAGUGCUUUUGCCAUUAUUAUUUUUUUUAAUUUAGGAAUAAUGAUACUUGGCCGAAGCCCUGGUAGACUGGCGACAUAAACGCUGUUAUUGUGCGUGCACAGUGCACCAUUUUCGUAUGCUACAAUGAAACUGUUUGUUGCAUAAUCAUUCUAUUUCUGUUACCCUCCGGUACUCUUUAGAUCAAAUAUCAUUAUUCUUUUUUCGUUUAAUAAGCUCAGCCACAAAUUCAUUGUGUGGCUAAUCGUGUAAGCUAGUUUCAAACGUUUCAAAUUUUUUAUUUUGAAUGAUGCUUUUAACUUUCUUGCAAACGAAAGUAUGCAUGAGUUUAAAAUGCUGGCAACGAUUUCUUGGCUGUUCUGCGUGCACGUACGACGAUGCUACACCAUAGGUAAAAUUUGUGGACAAUGAUGGUUGCAACUGUUGCAAGUUACCAAAGGGCUAAUUUGGUGAUUGCAAGGUCAGACUUGAUUUGGUCCCUUUUUUAUUGGUCAAUACGAAGGCACCGACUUCUCUGAAUUGAUGGCAAUGGAAGGAAACUUGGCAGAAGAGGAACGGAAAUGUAAUGAUCAAAUGUAUUUUGUCAAAAUGAAACUAGAUGAUGAAGAAUUUAAUACACCUGCUCUUGAAAACGCAAAGGCAUCAAAAUUUCAAAAAUCUUCCUCCAAGACAAAAUAUUGGGGUUAAUAAUUACUUAGGAAUUAGAAGUGCACCUACGUCAUUGCAGCAGGUUGAUGAAUAUAAGAUGAACACAUUUGAAGUUGAGCACCCUUCAAUUUGUGGCCUAGCUGUAACACAAAUCCUGUAAAAUAUGUUCUCGUAGUACACUAUUAGAAUGCAAUGGUAGAUUUACUCAUAAUAAGAAUACGUUAGAAUCAGAAUGAGUUGGAUCUGAAUGGAUUAGAAUCACGAUGAAGAGUGAUAAUUAGAAUAAAUUAUUUACUUGAUUUACAAAAAUUGUAAUCAGUAUCAAUAAUAUUUUUCUUGAUGUGUUUACUUUAUCUUAUAGUUGGAAUGGAUUAUCAACAAAUUACAAAAAAAAUUUCUUAAUUAAAAUCAUGUAUUUUUUACUAAUAAAAUAAAGAUGUAAAUUUUUUUAAAGGGAAAUAUAUGUAUUAUUAUAUUAAUAUUAUUGUUGUUGUUGUUACUUCUAUUAUUAUUAUUUUCUUUGAGGGUAAAAAUGUCAAUUCAAAAAAUAAAAUUUUAUUCUAUAAAAAGAUGAAAAUGAGAUUUUUCAUUUUUCAUUCCUAAUUUUAUGGAGCCCACCAAUUUGACUCCGAUUAUGAAUUGUAUUUUCGGAAAAGAAACACCAUCAAUCAAUCAAUCCAAUACCUAAUUCCAAUUUCUUAUUCCCAUAAGAUAACGCACCAUAAAGUAGGAAACAAUCAGAGACGUUUCACACGGACUUGGAAAAUUUUCAUUCCACAGUUGAAAAUUCAACUACACAAAUUUAAUUAUAUAUCAUCCUGAUUCCAAAAACAAAGAAAAAAAUUAAGGAAAAUUAAUUAGAAAAUUACAGAGCAUUUAUUGUGUGUCUCUUUAAUUACCAUUAAUUACGUGCAAACCCAAAAUUCAUGAGAUUAAUAUCAAUUUGUACAAGCUCAGGACUCAACAGUCAUCUGAUGACCACGGAUCACUCGCUCAUGGCCAGCGGAUGCCUAGGGUGAUCGAUCCUCAACAUGACGAAAACUCCUUCGCUUAUAAGGCAAUCAUCCAUGCCUUCUAGGUACAGAAAUUAUAAAUGCAACCCAAAUUGCCCUCAUCUUUAAAAUAAAAAAUAAGGGAUAAAUUAAUAUGAUCCUUCUAUUUGGGAUGACUUAAAAUUUACCUUAGAUAUGAUAACAUUUAUUGAGGAGCAUAUAAUAUAUGCAUAUUUUUUACUCUUAUUUAUAUAUUUAUUAGUUAUUUUUAUUAAUUAUUUUUAAUUAACUGAAUUAUUUAAUGAAUAGAAAAAUAAUUGGAGAUUAUGGAUAAAAAGUGCAUGACCAAUUUGGGAAGCAUUAGAGAUAAAUUGUUUUGGGAGCAAUCGGGCCAACUUACACGUGGAAUUCAAGGCUAAAUAACCAAAAUUUAACUGGUUGCAAAUCUAAAUCACGCAUGCACGUGAAUGGCUUAAAGAAUAUGGAAAUAAACUUGGCUUCUUUAAAGUCGGUUAGCUUAUGUUAUUAAUAGUUUUCCGUAUCGACUUUAAAUAAAGAAUGAUAGUAUUUUUUUUUUUUUUAAAGAUAAGAAAGAGUAGAUUUAAAUGUGUUAAUAAAAAGAAAAGUAUAAUUUAAAGUAUGAUUAAAUGGCAUAUAAAUAUAAGGAAUUGUUUUUAAAAUUAUUAGACAGUAUAUUUUCCCUUUAAAUACAGUGAUACAGAUGAGAUGAGAUAUAGGCUUUCGGGGCCCGUUUGAACACACAUAGAGGCUUUGGGCCAUGUGUUUGGGUGCUUUUCCCUUUUGGGAGCUUAUGCAUACAGUAUGAUGAUUACAUAGAUAUAGAUAUUGAGAUACAGACAGAUAUUGAGAUACAGAUGAUACAGAUGCAAUAUAAAUCUUUGGGGCCCGUCUGAGUACACAUAGAGACAGAGGCUUUCGUCCAGAUAUAGUCCUUUGUCCUUUGGGGACCAAUUUAUGCAUGCACAUAUAUGAUAAGAUAUGAGAUAACAUUUCCCUAUCUACCCGUUGUAACUCUAGGGCAUAAGGUUCCCCGAUUGCCCAUCGGUCGAGGUCCGGGUAUGCCGAAAUUAUUCUCCUGGAUACUUGUUUAGUGACAGUUUUCAGAAUUUAAUAUUUGAGAUUACAGUGUAUUAUGAUUUCCUUAAUUUUUAUGUGGUAUUAUAUAUUAUGUUCAUGUCAGUUUAUGAUUUAUAAUUAAAUUAAUUAUUUAAGUUUCUUAUGGUAAUUUGGUAAAAUUAUUCACUGAAAUGAAAUAAUUAUUUUGAGGUAAAUUUAUUUUUAAAAAACUACUAUUCACUCACUGAGUUUUAUAUUCACUCCGUUUUUAUUGUAUUUUCCCCCCAUAGGAGACUUGCAGGUACAACAGUCAACUCAACAAUGAUAGUUAUUUUUAAAAUUAUGGCCACAUGAUGGUGCCAGGGGUCUUAGAUGUUUUUUGUUGGGAUAUUUCGGAUUGCAUAAUUUUGUUAUAAUUUGUGAUUAAAGAUAACCUAUUGUAUUUUAACAUUAGAUGUUUGGAUGAUAUUUGGUAUUUUGAUUGAGGAAGUUGUUGUAGAGGUUGGUUGAAUAUUGAGCUAUUUUGGGAGUGUUUAUUAUAUAAUUUGCAAGUGUGGGAAUGUCUUAAUUAUAGGAGAGACUAUGCCUAAUUUUUGGUAGAAUCCUUAGAUAUUAGAUUUAUUAUCAAUUCAGUUAGAUGAGUUUGUCUAUACUAGGGUUAAGGAUGAAGACUUGUUCAAUGAAAUAAAUUAUUUUUUAUUCAAUUAAUUCUCUAUAUGUGUGCUUUAAUACUUAUGGUUCUUGUUUCACAUAUUUGAUUGAAUAUCAUUAAAUAUUUUUACCAAUUUUAUCAUGUACUAUUGAUUGUUAGGAUUAAUAUUUGACUAAACCUAUGCUUGGAUGUAUAAAAUUUAUAUAUGCCUGACCGUCUUUGAUUCUGUGACUUUCAUAAACUGUUUUCUAUACUUAGAAAACUUUGACUCUUUGUUGAUUCAAUAUUGUUCAUACGGAAUAUUUAAAUAUUAUAUUAUUAAGUAGAAAAAGAACAAACAUAAGAUUAAUCUUAAUGGAGCUUAAGAAUAGACAUACAUUGAUUUCGAGUUGUCACUUUAAAAUUAUGAAUUGAUUGGUAAUUAGAUAAGUUGAACUUUGGUAGAUUUUGAUGGUAGCCUCAAUCUCUUGAAUUCUUGUGUUAAUUUACUCGUUUUAAUUUUAAUUAUUGCAUCUUUAGUUAUAAUCUUCUCAAACAAAAUAUUUUCUUUUCAAUUAGGGUAGACCUAUAAUUGAAUUAGAUUAAAUUUUUCUUUUCUAAAAAUUAACAAACCUUGUGGAUUCAGACUCCUUAUUCUUAGUCUAUAUUUCAAUAAAUUUGUGUAUUUACGAGUGCAUUAAAAUUUGCUCAAUUAAUUUUUUACGCCUUCUCCAGAGAUUGGAUUGGAAAGUUUGUUUGAUUUGGGGCUGACUUAAUUUUUUAUAUUAGUCAUAGUUUAGGUUAUUUUUAAAAAAAAAAGAUGAAAAGAAAUUCCAAUUCGUCAAUUACUGUGUAGUUUAAAGUUUUAGAUUUGAUUUUAUUUAAAUUAUUAUUUCUUUUAAGUCGCGAGUGUCAGUUUUAGAUUAGGAUUUAUUUAUUUAUUUUCUUUUAAAGGUCAUGUGUCUUUUGUUUAGAUUAGUUAUACUACUAUUAUUGUUAUUAUUUUUAUUAUUAACCGUUUCUUUUAUUUUGUCUUUACUUUUGUUACUGUAAGUGCCUUUUAAUUUCUUUUCCUUUUACAUUUUCUAAUUGUAGUCAACAAAAAUUAAUCUAGGGGAUAAAGAAACAUAAUAAGUUAUAGGUCUGAACAUUCUAAUUCUCUCCUUAGUAGUUCGUUUUUAUAAUAGCUCAUAAAAUUAGUUUCUUUUUCUUUUCUUUUCCUUUUCACAAAUAUUAUUUAUGUUUUUUAUUAUUUUGGUGUGAUUGCAUGCUUCGUAAUAGAUCUCUACUGUGUGAUUUUGAAAGCUACAGAUAGUGAAAUUAUUAGAACUUUUCAUCAAAAAAAAAAAAGAAAGCUACUUCAAAAGAAAAAGUUGGCCAAAAUAUAGAAAAUAUAAUUGAAGACAAAAUGGCUCAAGAGCCACGAGAAAAGCCUUCUAAAAAUUACUUUGGUCCAUUCUCUAAUCUAAGCACCUCAUGCAUUCAAUAUCGAGGUGUUGCAGCUAGGAGUUUUGAAAUAAAGCCCAAUGCUCCCUAAAUUGUCUCCCAUCUUUUUAUGAUUUAGAUAAUGAAGAUUCUUAUAAUCAUUUGAAUGAUUUUUAUGCUAUGUGGCAAAUUUUUAAAUAUAAAGAUUUUUCUACAGAUGAUGUUAAGCUUCGUUUGUUUCCAUUCUCAUUGAAAGAUAAAGCUAGAUCAUGGUUUAUCACAUUCCCAGCUAAUAGCAUUACAUCUUGGAAGAUAAUGGUUGAUAAAUUUUUUAAUAAAUAUUUUCCUAUUCAUAAGACUAAUGCUAUUUGCAGGGAGAUUUCAGAGUUUAUACAAAAGAGGAUGAAUAAUUCUUUGAAGCAUGGCAGAGAUUUAAUCACUUACUCUUGAAGUGUCCUCAUUAUGCGUUUGAAAAAUGGCAUCAGUGCCAAUAUUUUCUAAAAGGAUUAUUGCCACAUAUUUAAGAGUGGUUGAUAGACACCAGUGGAGGUGAACUUAUGUCCAAGAGUGUGACAAAAGUUUGGGACUUUUUCCAAAGACAAGCAGAUAAUUACAUCAGAGGAGUCGAUCUUUAAGGAAUAGUAGAAGAAUAAGAGGAGUGAACAAGGCCUCCAAACCACACAUUGCUGCUACAGUCUAUGUCCUUGCCUUCAGACAGAACAAGUGUACUAGAUUUUCAGGCAAAUCCCAACCUCAUUCAAGACUCUAUGCUUGUACUAACAAAAGAGGCACUGAGGCAGCCUAAAAAGGCCUAAAAAAAAAAAGGAAAAUGCAUUCGAUGUGAUAACCCUGGUUAUACAAUUAGAACUUGCACUUAUAACCCGUCACCAAUUCCAACUUACAUAUAUAGCCAGAAUAAUUGCCGUGACCACCUAUCGAACAAUCUCCUGGACAAAUCAGACCCUGAUACCUCCACUUGGACCAAUAAAUAUUUUGAUGGAAGCUCAGAACCUACCUCGACUCAAGCAUCAGGAUCAUGGCUUAAUAAUAGUCAAUCAAUUGGCAUUACUGCACCAUCCGAGCUAAAUCUAUUUGGGAGCAGUCUAGCAUACUAAGGUUGUAUAUAAAUGCCUUGCUAACCACUUAUUUCUACCGAGGAGGUAAUAUUUUACCUUGACUAUGAAUUUAUAUUUUUCAUAUUAUUUAUGUUGGUGAUACAUGGCAAUAGUUUGUUGUUUUAACAUGUUGAGUGAAUUAGGUUUAUGACGAUUGUGUUUCUAUUAUGCUAGAUCAAAAUGAAAGUUGUGGGUUCUGAUAUAGGGAUUUAUUAACUUAGAAGUUCGAUUUCAACAUAUCUACUAUUUUGCCUUGUGUUUGAUUGCAUCAGAACUUACGUAAUUGAUGUUCGAUUGAUAAUGAAUUUUGAGAAAUGAUAGAUAAAUGUUCUUGUAUUCUAAUUCUAGAAAUUGUGGAGUAAAAUGGUUUACGACUGAUAUUGUUGGAUUCAUCUCAUUAUUCAUUACUAUCAAUUCUUAUCAGAAUUUACCUACGUACGAAGUUUUAUGUUGAAGAAGAAUAGUGUAACAGUGUUAAAAUGAGCUAAAAUUUUGAGAUAUUGUACUUCUAUGUAUAUAAUUAAGAUCUAUAAAUUUUUAGGUGAUUUUAGUUUGUCACUUUUUUUGGAUGAAUUUUCAAAGUUUGCCACUACUGUGGCUAGUUUUUUUUUUUUUUUUUUUUUUUUUUUUUUUUUUUUUUUUUUUUUUUUUUUACAGAUACUCCAACUUCCUUUUAUUUUAAAAACCACUUGUCAAUAAAUACCAGAAUGACCUCAAAUUUUAAGGGUAAGUGGUUAUCACUCAAUAUGCGUAAUUUAUUUUUGGAAAGUUUGAUUGAAGCCUAUCAGUAUUUCAUUCUCUUAUAAUUGCUCCAAGUCAUGCUACUGCAGUUGUUGCUUGAUCGAUUUUCUUGGUUGAUGUGCUAACCUCAUGUGCUAUUAAAAUGACGGAAGAACUUUAUAUGUUGUACAUUUAUAUGUCCAUUAGUAUUUUCAGGAAUUUCACGGUGAUUCGAAUAGUUCCAAACUUUGUAUACAAGUUGAAAUCCAUAUUGCUUAUGCUUUCCUAUUAAAAUUUCAAGUUUUAAGGACAUCAGUGUGAUGAAGUAAUGAAUAAAUGGAUGCCUUCGGUUUUGCUUAAAAAAAUUUAUAACUUUUGUUCAACGCAUUUUAGAUCUAUAAGUUUGUGGACGAAUGGUGUAUUAAAAUUGAUUUGAUUGCCACUAUUACCUUGUAACAUUUUAAAACAUAUGACAGUGUUGUUUUAUUAAUAUAAAUGUUACUGGUUGCAGAUCGUACUUCUGAACUGAAACGUCAAUAGAUUUUCUAAGCAAAAAUAUUUCCACAAAGAAGAUCAUCUUAUUUCCUACAAGUGCUCCCAACCAUGACUUCUCUUCCUAUCAACGUACGAAGUUGAUCGUACCUCAUAAAUUCGUAAUUGUGAAAGUACCAAAUAAAUAAAAUGAUCCACCAUUAGCAACAGUAGUUUCAAAGAGCAAAAUACUGAAUAACCAUUAUGAUAAUGUCAACUAAAUUUUUUGCUCGAAUAUGACAUGUUCAGCUCUAAGCAUACUAUUACAUAGUUCAUGAAUUGCAUAUACAAAAUAUCAUUUUUCUUAUUAUGUGGAAUAAGCAAAAUGUUGUAGCCACAACAUUAGGUAAAAUACAUAUAGAAAUCAAACAUGUGGCAUUUUAUAAAACGAAGUUGGAGAAUUAGCGAGAACCAUAUAUCUAGUUAAUGUUCGGGAUGAAAAUGAAAGCUCAAUGACUUUUGUCCAGCAGAUGCAUGGAUUUAAAAACUACAUUAUCAUUUUGCUUUCCAAGCUCAGUGCAGAACUGGUGCUAAGUAUUAGCAUGCUGCUUUAUAGACAUCAUUAUAACUAAAACUUGUACAUACAUAGCAGGUAGUAUGGAAUAUUCUCUAAUUUCUGAAGGACAACAAAAUUUCUUCUAAGACAUAUUGUGUAGGCCAAAUUUCCUUUUAUGAAAUGAAGUUUAAAGAAAAUGUACAAUUGCAUAAAACAUUGAAAGGAUAGUCCCGCGACCAAAUUAAAAGCAACCUCGAAAGAGGAAUGCUUGAAAACGAACACAUGAAGAUUGAACCUGGAAGACAUAAUAAUUACCAAACUAUUUCAGGAAAGUUCCUAUUAAAUUUUCAAAUAACACUUAAAGAACCUAAUAUUGAGUUUAACGAUGAUUCAUUUCUCCUUUUCUUGUGCAAUAACUGAAAACUAAAGAUUAAGUCACCUGUAAAUCUAUAAUUUAUGCCCAUGACCCUUACAUGUACAAUGUUUUGCUUGCGCAUGAUAAAUCAUUUAAUAAUACCGGCCAGUCUUUCUUUUAUCUGCGUUGUUCAUCACGUAAAAACUCUUUUGCACAUAAGAUCAUUUUCUUUUUCAUCACGUUACUUCUAGACACAAGAAAUUGAACAGCCAACUUCCUCCAUUCAUCCUCUAAUUUAUACUCUUUGAAAUAAGAAACAAACAAAAUUUAGGUCAGUAGUCAGAUCAAGUAAAUUUUAUGCAAUGCAGAUUCAAUAUCAUUUCUAUCUAAUCUUAUCCACUCAAGAUAUCCACGAACAUCUAAAUUUUCACAAAACCAAAUGGUUGACUAACCAUGCAAUCAGGAACUUGUGCUAUAGUAAGGUUCUCCAUCCACCAAAUCACAAACAUUCCACGUAUAUACCCAUUACACUGUCUCGAAAUCCUUUGUUUGUGAAUGGAAUGAAAACUCUGAAAUCUAAAGUCGCUCCCAUAUAACAUCCGAAUUUUUCCUUCAAUAUCUCAUCAAGUGCUUUCAACUAUAGUGAUUGAAAAAACAAUGCAAUCAGUGUGUACUCUAAAUGACGAAAUGGAAACAUGAAAGGUAGAAGAUAGUUGAAAUAAAGUUUAUAGUUGAAACAAAGUUUUUGAAUAAUCAAGUUUAUUGAAUAAUUAUGAAUUGACAAAGAUAGGGUUUUGGCCCCUUUGUAAUAAUUCUAAAUAUUGCGAAUUUACCAAAAUAGAUAAAUCUAAAAUAUUAUUUUAUAAUAAAAUUCCCCUAAUCUAAAUAAGAAAAGAAAAACAAAUGGUGUCUAAAUCUGAAUUCUAGAAAAAAAAAGAAAGAUAAAAUUCCUAAAAGAAACAGAAAAUGUAGGAAAAUAUUUUAAAACUAAAAAUGAUCAGGAAAGAAACAGUAUUUUCGACUUGACCAUGGGGCAGAAUGAUGAAGCUAUUUUAUUUUUGAUUCAUUCUCAUCGCAAGCUUCAAAACGGUAUAUUAUACACCAAAAGCGAACACCUGUAGCCUAAGUUAUGCCCUCUGAAAGAUACCCCAUGCAUAAUUUACAACCAUCCUACAUCACCAAAGUAAGACUUUAACUUAAAUAAAUACAAUAAAAUAUUGGAAGAUAAACAAAAUCAAAACACAUAAAAACCCAAAUUUCUUGAUCCACUUACCAUUGUGUUUGCUUCUCCAACUAAUGCAUUUUUUUGGUGGCACUUGGUAAUGAGUCCCAAAUCUCAGCACAUAUAGUAGGAAUUUCAACAACAAGAACAUACCAGUGCCAUGAAUUAUGAUUUACUGUAACACCCCAAAUCUAACACAUGUGGAGCACGUGAAGAAGGAGGUUACUCACAAAUCAUAAUCCUUACUCAUAAGUUUCAAACGGAAAUACCUCCAAUUUUUAUUCAAAUAAAUCCACAAAUUCAAAUGUCUAAUACUAAAUAAUCUCUCCCGAGGACAUAAAAAUAAUAACAAAAGUCUCAAACUCCAAAUUACACGUUCAUAAUAGAAAUAACUAAAUAGAAACACGAGUCUAUUCCUCCUCUUAUUCAAAUGGCAAACGGAAACGGAAAACUACUAACUCCAAAGCUAAGCGCACCUCUCAAAAGAAACUUAAUUUGCAAAAAGUAAUGACGAGGGGUGAGCCGUCAACUCGGUAAGUAAAACCAUUUCUAACAUACUAGGCCUAUCGAUACAAAAAUAUUGCAAGCCUUCUUUUGUUUAAAACAUAUAUCAUAAACCCUAAAUUUCAUAAAACAAUAUGUCACGAUAACAUAACAUAAAUUCUUAAUAAUUCAGAAUAUCCAAAAGCAUAUUUACUUACAAAGUAAAUCAUAUAAUACGUAUACAGAAAAUAAAAGGUUAGCUCAUGACACAUAGUGUCACCUAUAGUCCCGGUGACCCGGCCAGAAACAGAAUCAGAAUAUCGUGUGCACACUCAAACAGAAACCCAGUACUGGUCCAGACAGAUAUAUCGUAUAUUACGAUUAGAAUCAGAAUCAGAAUCAGAAUAACUACGGACAAUGAGCCAAAACAUAAUGACUUAUACGUGGCACUUUGCACUAUAUGUGGCACUUUGCGAUGCUUUGGCCUUCAAGAGGUGGCCCCCAUAUAGUCCCAAGAGGUGGCCCCCGUACAAUCAUAAAUAAUUAAAUCAUACAUAGGCAUAAAACAUUUGUAUCAGUUUCAUAAAUGUCCAUAACAACAUUUUAAGCUUGCAUAACAUUUUAAAGAUAAAAUCAUAAAAGGUAGUCUUGUCAUAAAAUAAUUUACGUAUUUAAAAGCAUUUAUGAAAUACUUUGUUAAAAAGAAUUUAGGUUUUGAAAACAUUUUCAUAAGCUAAUUUUGUUAUGAAAAUCCAUUAAUCUUCUAAGUAGUAUGAAAACAUUUACACUUAUAAUAAUAAUAUCAAAAUACUUAUACAUAUCCAGUAUACUAGGAAUGAAGUUACUUACCUCGACAAAUGAAUUUGGAUUAACACACCUCUAAGCUUCUAAGACCCUCAAUCACCUUCAAUACCUUAAACAAAUACAAGAUAUGACAAUUAAUAACUUAUUCUAAGAAUCUGAUUUUCUAAUUCAUACCCGUGCAGGUCUGAUUCUCAGAAUUUUAACUCUUAAUCUAAAACUCAGAAUGAUAUAAUAUUCUAUGGAACUAUUCUGGACAUCCAUGAGUACCCCAUGUAAAAUUUAAAAGAGGAUCCGAUAUCAAAAAACAUUUUAAAAACUAUUUACUUCUCAGCAAAUUCGAAACUGUUUUCACAUAAUCUAAACCAAACAGAAUGGGUUCCAUGAUUUUUAUAAAAUAAAAUACUAUUCAGAAAAUUAUGAAAUUAAAACUGGGAAUCCUAAACACAUAUAUUAACCUACAUAUAAACUUUCAGAAUUUUCCGAGUUCAUUUGGUGGUACAAAUAGUCUUGUGAAUCCGAUCGCAAUGCUGGAAUCGCAGUUUUCCAGUGCAGUGGUUUCUAUUUCGAAAAUACAUAUAAAAUUGAAAACGAAGUCGAAUUUAAUGAAAUAAAAUUUACUCAAGAAGCCCUACAUGUCUAGUUCCUAGAAAUAUAAAUUUUAUAAGAAAACUCGUUCAGAAAAUAUAGGUUUAAAUUCGAGAUACUCAUACUGUCCCGAAUUAUCCCGUGCUUAAUACGUCAAGGAUUGAUUAACUAAACUCAUAAUAAAUCAAAACCGUAAACAAAGCCUAAAUACAUUCUAAAUCAUGCAUUAUGAUCUAUAACCAUCUAGAAUCGUGCCAAUAUAAACCCUAGAUAGAGUGAUUAGAAAUAUGUUGAGAACAUGGAGAAUAACUUACCCGUCGCUUUGAUUCUCUCCUAAACAAAGGUUUGAAUUCUAAGAUUUGGGUAGGAGCGUAAAGAGCAGCAGAGAAGAAGAAUAAACGUCAUGGACUUAGGGUUAUGGAAGGGAAAAAGUAUGAAUUUAUAGGGAGUCUUAAGAAACCCUAUUUAAUAAGGAAAAAUAACCCUUCUCCAAAAUUAUCUCAUAAAUAACCUCUAUUUAUAAUUAGUAUCCAUUUCUUAAUAAGGGUUAUAGGCCACCCAUAAUUCUCAAUGAAAGCCUAAUUUCCAUAAUUUAAUAUUAUGGAAAUUUGUGGCGUUACAAUUCUCCCCUCCUACAAAAAAUUUUUUCCUCGAAAUUUGUCGUAAAUUCUAGUUCUGCCAUAAGCAACACAUGGGAUCAAGUUGUUAUUGUUGGGAGAAGUUUUGGAGGUAAGUUUUUAUUAUUGGUUUCUAUUAAAUUGUUGUGGAGAAGCAUGAUUGCAAUAGAAGUAGAAAUAAAAGAUUUUACAUAAAUAUGCUGACAGUGAAUUAUUACGAAAAUCAUAGUAAUUUUUACAAAUUGAUUUUGAUUCUGAUUUUUGGGUAUGUUAAACUAGACAUCAUCUAAUAUGUUUUGAAACUUGUUUCAAGUUAAUCGGAUAAGAUUUUAAUUAAUUAUGAUUUUUCAAAGUCAAGUCUGAAAACCUGAAAAUUUAUGAUUUCAGUGAAUUACGAAAUUAUUUCUACCAUAUCUAGACUUCUUCAAAAAUUAUGAAAUUUGGACCAAUGAUUUUUAUAUAUGUCUAGUAUGAUUCUGGAAAUUUUCAUAAUUUUAUGAUAAAGAAAUAAAUUGUUUUGUAUUUUUAAAGCAAGUGUGUUGAAAACAGAAAACUGUUUGACAGUAUUGAUGAUGUCUGAAACGUGAAUUAUUUUCAAUCGUUUUGGAAGGAAUUAUGUUAUGAAAUUUUUAUCAAUGAACUUUCAAUGUGUCAGCAUAUAUUCUGUAAAAUUUGAGAUUCUUCCAAUAAGAGAAUAAUUUAUUAAAAAUCGGAGAAGUAUGGACUGUUAUGUUUUGAGGGCCGAUUAUUGAGGACAAUUGAGGUUGAGCUUAGGAGUUGUUUAAAUUGAGAUAUUUGAGGACAUUAGAGUUUAUUAUUGAGAUUUGAUUAUAUCUUAUGAGGUGUUAUUGAUGAUUUUAGGUUGAUGGUAUCAUAACGCAUUUGUUACAUGAGGAUGCCAAGAGGUAAGUAAACUAGACUUUUAAACGGAUCACAAUAAACAAUAUAUAUGUUUGACUUGUGUGAAAAUCCUAUUUUGAUAUGUACGAAUGUGGAUUUAUAUGUCUCUGCCCAUGUGUUUAUGUGAUGUGUUGGCAUGUGUUGAGCGUGAUUAUGUACAUGGGCAUAUGUAUGUGUGAUGGUUCAUUGGCAUGAGCACAAAAUUGCAUUGAGUUUUCUAUGAAUGAUAAAAUGGAUUUUAGCAAACAGAAUUUCUAUUUUAUGAGAUUUUGCAUUGGGGGCCACCUCUUGGGACUAUGUGGGGGCCACCUCUUGAGGGCCAGAGUGCCGCAAAGUGCCACGCAUGGUGCAAAGUGCCACGCACAGCACAAAGUGCCACAUUGCAGGAUACGUAUUUCAUCGAAAGAAAAUGAGAAAGUUUGAAAGCGAUAAAAAGAGAUUUUUAUGAAUUUAUUUUAUAGUAUUUCCAAAAGAUCAUGGCAUAUCAACCAUUGCAUUAUGUAUAAGUAUGUAUGUAUUUUACAUAUAAGAAAAACUAGUUUGCUUACUGGUUUUUGUACUCAUUAUAGUUUAUUGUGAUUCAGUUUCCAGAAGUUAGGAUUGAUUCGUGAUGAGUGAGAAGAUGAAUUUGAAUUGAGCAUAGUAGAUGGUUUGGUUAAGUUUUUAAGUUAUUCCUCUGGCUUUUGUAUUUGAGGCUCGAAUUUUAUCGGUUGUGAAGAGUUAUUUUAAUUCAUAUGUGAGUUGUGGACAUAUUUACCCUUAGAUUUUGGAUUGGGGUGUUACAUUUACGGUAAUGACAAUCUAUUUAUAAUAAAUUCAAAUAAUUAUAUCAACAACUUAAUUGUUUGUUAAAGUAUCAAUUUGUAUAUACAAAUGUGAUGGAUUUAACGAUUUUAUUAUUCAUAAAAUUUCUAUAAACAUAUUGUCCACUUUCUAAUUCUGUUAAUUCACUACUGCCAAUUUUAUUUCAUCAAACAUCUAGGCAUGCCUUUGCACAUUGUACCAAGUCUUGCAUGUAGCACUUACUCGAGUGCUUCCACCACCCUAGCCAUGCUAUAUCACUUCCUUGAAUUAGAAUCAUUUACUGCUUCUAAUAACAAUUAAUGUCAUUGUUGCAUAUGCCUACAUUUCCUUCCAACAAUAUGAAGAUUUUUUAUGCAUUCACAAUCACUGUUGAUGCGAGAUUCCGGUUCUCCUCGUUCUACGAUCAGGAUCUCUGCUCGAUCAACUUCACCACGACCAUGAGGUCUCCUCGUGAGGCUUUUUUUUUUCAGAUGUCCCUGCACACACGGACAAGUCAGAGUACGCCGGUUGUUUUCCCGGCGCAAACCCUCCGACGCUUAAGUCAGAUAUCAAGGUUCGGGGAACGUUUGCCACCGAUCUUAUGCAGGAUGGUUGUCAAGGUCUCCAUCUGCUUUUCCAUCCGUUCCAUCCGGUCGAACAUGACUUUUUCCCGUGCUUCACUGACUAUCUCCCUCAGCGUCACGGAAUCGUUAAGCCUCAUAUCACCCCCUUGUGCACUACUUCCUCCUGUCUCCAUUGCUUUUCACUUGCUUCACCCCUCUUCUUGCUAUCAAAAGAAGCUUUUUGCUCUGUUCCCCACAGACGGCGCCAAAAUGUUGAUGCGAGAUUCCGGUUCUCCUCGUUCUACGAUCAGGAUCUCUGCUCGAUCAACUUCACCACGACCAGGAGGUCUCCUCGUGAGGCUUUUUUUUUUCAGAUGUCCCUGCACACACGGACAAGUCAGAGUACGCCGGUUGUUUUCCCGGCGCAAACCCUCUGACGCUUAAGUCAGAUAUCAAGGUUCGGGGAACGUUUGCCACCGAUCUUAUGGCUUUUUCAUGGUUUUUUCUUUUAUCUCAAAAAUGCUAACCCUUUUACCUUCGUUGGCUACCUUUUUAUAGGCUUCCUGAAUCCCCGUUUUCCGCUUUUUCCGAGACGGUAUGGGACUCCGACUGCUGCGUUAUGGGCAAGCGUGGGAUCUUGCGUGUUACGCCACGGUUCAGGGGAAAGCGUGGCUGUCGUGCCUAGAUUCUCGGGCUGGAGAGCAUGUCCUGCCAACUGCCGUCGACCGGGUCUCCUCGCCUCUCGGCCUCUAGCCGGAAUGGCCUUAUGCCUCUUACAGGAAAUUGGCCUCGCGGAUGACGUGCUCGUGGACGAGCCGGAUAUUUCUGCUCCUGUUCUUCCGCGCACCAGGCCUUUACGGAACACACCUGUUCCCAGAACUCUGCCAUCAGAUAUCUGCUCACCGUGCCUGGUCUCGUCGACGUCUUUAUCCCAAACAGUAUUUCUCCCAAACACCGGUCCCCCAGUUUCUGGUGUUGGGUAAUGUAGUGGACCAGCAGUAGAAACUCGAUAGUUAUCGCUCGCAUAGGAUUGAAAAAGGCUGCCAAGAGUCAUGUCGCAUUUAAUUGCGGACGAGGUGACGUGGCAGAAAUCCCUCCCUCCAUUUGAAUUUCAAACCGACGGUUAUGAGACCCUCGGGAUUCGGCGCUAUUAAAUGCUGGCAACCCAAGAGUUCGUCCUCAUUAGGAAAGCCAAACCCUCUCGAACGACAUAUUCGUCAUUCACUCCGUCUCCGUCUCUGCCUCUCCGGCAAAGAAGUUCCGGCAUAAAAGGCCUCCAUCUCAGACUUUCACCGACUGAACCAUUACUUCAGGUAUUUCUUCUGUUUCCUUGGUCUCGGAUAGUUGUAGAUAAUUUCUCUUUUCUUCUGUUUGGGUAGUAGUUGGUGGUGUUGCGGUUAGAGCUUAGGGAAUGUUGAAAGGCAAAGAGAAGGUCAUUGAGGUUGAUGACGACGAGUUGGACUUCCUGCCUAGUCUGCUCACCGAUCCUGCUUUUGACCCCGGGAUUCCCUUAGAACCCAUUAGGUCUAGUGUCAGGACUAGUGCUAGGAGGAUGUCUCCCCAAACAACCUCUACGAGCGGAAGUAAUGGUGAGGAGAGAUCUUCUGGCUCCGAGGAUACUUUGAGUGAGAGUGGCGAGGGUGACUCUGGUGAGGCGUCUCCAUCCGGAGCGUCACGACCAGAAGGACGGGGUACAGUAGGGGGUAGAGCCUUGUCGCGCGAUUAUGCCAUCGACUAUAUGACGUGCACGACCACGUUUGACGAGCUCGCUGACCUCCGUCUUAGGUACAGCAUUCCUGGUGAAAUACCUCUCAAGGUCCCAGGAAAGAAGGAUGCUCCCAGCCGGCCUCCUAGGGGAUAUGUUACCCUGUAUCUGGAUAGCUUUAAGUUCGGGCUGAGGUGUCCCUUGCAACCUUACUUUGCCCGGAUACUCAACGGGCUAAAUCUAGCUCCUGGUCAGCUGAAUCCCAAUGGGUGGAGAGUGCUCUCUGGUCUGUUCAUAUUGUGGGACAGAUGUUGCCAAAGCGAGCCCACGGUUGAUGAGGUGAAGCAUCUGUACCAGCUAAAAAGCAGCCCCAAAGAUGCCGGCUGGUACUACUUCCAAUCUAGCACCAAGAGCAGGAAACCUAUAACCGACCUCCCUACUGGUGGUGGUGGGAAUUGGAAGAGAAAGUUCUUUUUUGCUGGGGGUCCUUGGGGUCAGGUUGCACAAAUGGACGGGAAGGAUUAUCGGGUCCCACCCCGUUUCACGGUCCCAGGUUGCCUGCUCGCUUUAGAUGUCUUGUAUCCAUAAUUGUUCUUGCUUUAUUGGCUUGUCUCUAACCAAGUGUCUGUUUGUGUUGUAGUUUCUUGGGGUGUUCACUUCCCGCUCCCACCUGACCAGCUCAAACGGGUCGAGGCUGUGCUCGCCAAUUCCUGCUCGAGCCGAGAACUGUUAACUACGUACAACUUGCUCGAGUCUUGCUUGAUACUUCCUGGCCAUAGGAUGGAGGACGCUGUGAUUGGGGCUCUGACCCGAAAACGUUCUCGACCUCCAACCACGAAGAGGGACCAGAGUAAGGAUGCCCCUACUGCAAAGCGGGCCAACAUCGUGCAGCAGGCCCCACCCUUGAAGAUUUUACCUCCUGCUCCUGUAAAAGUUGGGGAAGCUAGUGGAGUAGCCGCAGAUCCUGCUACCUCUUCUCCUCCUGUCGGGCCUCGAUCUCGCUUACCUGACAGCCGAGCAGAACAUCUGGUCCCUUACCUCAAUGAGUUAACUAAAUUCGUGAGCAAGAAGGAUCUGGAGGACUUUGACGGCCGCACCUUGGGUGAGCUGGUGGGGGCCAUGCAGCAUAGCGCUUUCCACCUCAGCUGCAUGACCACCUAUUACAAGGCUAAGGUUGGCUGCUACGACCGGAAGAUGAAGGAGGACAUUCAAUUGGCGACGACCAGAGCUGACGUUGCCGAGCAGAAAGCAGGGGAGCUGAAUCUCGAGAACCUGAAGCUGAUAGAGCAAGAAUCACUUGCCCAAGCAAAAGCCAUUACCCUCGAGGAGGAGCUUACCAAGGUCAAGGAGGAUCUGCAAAGGCAGAAGGCCAUGUACGAGACUCAGCUCGAAUCUCUCCGCGACUCCCACCGAGCUCAGGUCGAGAACAUGGAGAAAGAGGCCGACAACCAGUACGACCAGGGACUUCGGCAUUCCUAUCGUUGCAUCAUGGCCGUCCUCGGGAAGCAACACCCUGAUAUGAAGAUGGACGACCUUGCAGCUGGUGUUGCUCAACAUAUGGACGAGGAGGCAGACGAGGAGGCGGCCAAGGGAGAUGCCGAAGGGGUAGAGCCGAUCAUGAUUGAGGAGGAAAACUCUCCUCCUCGUGCAGUCCCUGCUGAUGUUGGCGAGGUGAGCACCCCCCCGGACGCAAUUGGUGAUACCCCCCUUGCACCUGAGGAGGUCCAGCCAGCCGAUGCUGCUCGGCUCACUGAUCCACCGUCUUUUUGAUAUAUUUCUUUUAUUGUAAUGGACAAUGUUCAUGAAGAUUAUCCCCUCUGUUAAUCAUUAACAAAUUAAUAAAAAUGUUUUUUGAUUACUUUCUUGUGUUGUAAUUAUGAGUUAAUUUUCGUUUGAGAAUCUGCUUGUCUUUGUCUAGACGAGCAGGUUCCGGCUUGGCUCAUGGUUUUGCCACAUGCCUUUGAAGAUUUUUCAAUGCCUGGGAUUCGGUUUACCUUCGCGCGGUCGAGCAGAUCCUGGCACGCUCAGCUUCUGUCUCGCCAUAAGACAGGCUCUGAGACUUUGUCAAGCCUUUACAUGCCUUAGGAAUUUCUUCGGAUGAUUUGGAGUCUGCUCGCCUUCUCGUGGUCGAGCAGAUCCUGGCAUGUUUGGCUUCUGUCUCGCCAUAAGACAGGCUUUGAGACUUUGUCGAGCCUUUACAUGCCUUAGGAAUUUCUUCGGAUGAUUUGGAGUCUGCUCGCCUUCUCGUGGUCGAGCAGAUCCUGGCAUGUUUGGCUUCUGUCUCGCCAUAAGACAGGCUUUGAGACUUUGUCGAGCCUUUACAUGCCUUAGGAAAUUUUCUCGGUUUCAAGCGAAUGAAACUCCUCGACGUUCCAUUAAUGGCAUGAUUCGUCUUACAUAAAAUUGUUUGGACAUAAAGCGUAAAAGAUAAACGAUAAUUGUCAUGAGCAAGAAUAGCUUUCAAAUGUGUACAAGUCUUACUGGAAGUAUUUUCGGAGGUGUGCUGCGUUCCAUGGGCGUUUCACCUCGUGGCCGUUCGUGCGAACCAGCUUGUAAGCUCCGGGUCCCGCUAUCUGCUUGACUCUAUAUGGCCCUUCCCAAUUCGGUCCCAGCACUCCUUGAGUCGAAUCUUUGGUGCUCUGAUUCACUCUUCUCAGUACCCAGUCACCGACCCUGAAUUGCCGUAUGUUCACCUUCUGGUUGUAAUACCGAGCAACCCUCUGUUGGUAAAUGACUGAUCGCUCGACUGCUUGCUCCCUUCUUUCCGUUAGCAGAUCAAGAUUCAAACAUAUCUGCUCGUCGUUCUCCUGCUCAUCGAAAUGGUUUGUCCGGUGUGUGGUUGUUCCUAUCUCAGCCGGCACGACCGCUUCGUGUCCGAAAGCCAAAGCGAACGGUGUCUCCCCGGUUGUGGUUUUGUGGGUUGUUCUGUAUGCCCAUAACACACCUGGCAGCUCGUCAACCCACGCACCCUUUUUUGCUCCAAGCCUGGUUUUCAAAAGCCUCUUGAUGGUCUUGUUGGCUGCUUCUACUUGUCCAUUCGAUUGAGGGUGAGCAGGCGAGCAAUACUUCAGCUCUAUCCCGAGGUUCUGGCAGAAAUCCCUGAAGCUGUGAUUAUCGAACUGCCUGCCAUUAUCCGUUACCAAGGCAUAAGGGAUCCCGUAUCGACAGACCAGGUUUCUCCACACGAAGUCUGUUGUUUUCUUCUCAGUGAUUCUGCUAAGGGCUUCUACCUCUAUCCACUUCGUGAAGUAAUCUAUAGCAACUAUUGCAUGUGUUGCUGCUCCUCGUGCCUUCGGCAAUGGGCCGAUCAGAUCGAUUCCCCAUUGAGCAAAUGGCCAAGGGGAGGCCAUGGAGGUGAGCUUCUCUGGUGGUUGGUUAGAGAAAUUUGCAAAACUCUGGCAGCUUACACAACUCCUGGUCUUCUCUUGCGCAUCCUGGUGCAUUGUCGGCCAGAAAUAUCCCUGCCUUAGAACCUUGUGGGCCAGGGACCUCCCGCCAGAAUGAUUUCCGCAAAUUCCUUCAUGUACUUCUCUCAGUACGUAAUCCGCGUCGUCCUCAUCCAAACACCGAAGGAAAGGUAGUGUAUAUCCUCGCCGAUACAGUACCCCAUCAAUCAUCGUGUAUCUCGAGGCCUGGGCUCUAAUCUUGCGAGCUCGCAGCUUAUCUGGUGGUAACACCCCGUCUCUAAGGUACGAAACUAUCGGGUCCCUCCACGAACAUUUUUGUUCUAUCCGCAACACCCCCAAAUUCUGAUCAAUACUUGGGCUGGACUUCACCUCCAGAGGGACCGACUUUGGCAUUUUUGGGUCGGCUACUGCUGCCAUCCUAGCCAAAAUGUCUGCUCGACUAUUCUGCUCCCUGGGGAUUUGUAUCACCUCCACUGCUUCGAACUUCCCCAUCAGCUGCCUGACUAUCUUCAGGUACUGCUCCAUCUUCUCCUCUCUUGGUUGGAAUCUUUCACUGACAUGAUUCGCAACCAGCUGGGAAUCAGUUCUGAUCUUAACUCUGUCUGCUUUCACGGCCUUAGCCAAUUCCAGACCUGCUAUCAAGGCUUCAUACUCUGCCUGGUUAUUCGUGGCUGCAAAUUCCAACUUUACAGCGUAAGAUAUCUCCUCCCCCUCUGGACCUUCCAAGACAAUCCCUGCUCCUGAACCCCGCUCCCCUGAUGACCCAUCCACAGACAUCUGCCAUACUUGAGUUUCGUCAUUGCCUAUAACUGCAUCUUGUUGAUCUAAGCAUACUUCGGCCUCUGUGAAUUCAGCUACGAAAUCGCCCAUUGCCUGGGCCUUUAUCGCUGCGCGGGGUUUAUAGUCUAUGUCGAACUCGCUCAGCUCUACGGCCCACUUGACGAGCCGACCAGAGGCGUCUGGCUUGUGAAGAGUUUGACGCAACGGCUGGUUUGUUAUUACCGAGACCGGGAAUGCUUGAAAAUAUGGCCUCAACUUCCGAGCAGCAGCCACAAGGGUGAGUGCCCAUUUCUCCAACGGUGGGUAUCUGGUCUCAGCGUCGAGCAGGGCCUUGCUGGUGUAGUAUAUCGGAUAUUGAACUCCUUCUUCCUCUCUCACCAGAACAGAACUGGCGGCCCGAUCCGAUACCGCCAAAUACAGAUACAACUUGUCCCCAUCCCUCGGUGUGGACAGCAGCGGAGCUUGCUGCAAGUAUUGCUUCAAGUUCCGGAAGGCUUCCUCGCAUUCUGGGGUUCAUUCUGUUUUCUUUCCCCUCCUUAUCACUUGAAAGAAUGGCUGACACUUAUCUGUAGCCUUGGACAUGAAUCUGCUCAACGCCGCCAACCUCCCCGUGAGGCUCUGCAUCUCCUUCAGGUUACGAGGAGACGUCAUCUGCACAAUCGCCUGGAUUUUCUCGGGAUUUGCUUCAAUCCCCCUAUGGCUCACCAUGAAUCCAAGGAAUUUCCCUGACUCGACCCCGAAAGCACACUUCUCCGGGUUGAGCUUCAUCUUAUACUUCCUCAAAAGCUCGAAUGUCUCCUCGAGGUGUCCGACAUGUUCCUUCAGGAUUUUGGACUUGGUGAUCAUGUCAUCCACGUACACCUCCAUGGUUUUCCCAAUCAACGGCUUAAAGACUUUGUUCACCAGCCUUUGAUAGGUGGCCCCAGCAUUUUUGAGACCGAAUGGCAUUACCCUGUAACAGAACAAACCUUGGUUAGUGAUGAAAGCCGUGCUCUCCUCAUCCUGCUCGUACAUGGGGAUCUGGUUGUAUCCCGAGAACGCGUCCAUGAAGCUGAGCAGACCAUGUCCAGCCGUUGAAUCUACUAGUUGAUCGAUCUUGGGUAAAGGGAAGCUGUCUUUUGGGCACGCCUUAUUGAGGUCUGUGAAAUCCACACACAUCCUCCACUUGCCGUUUGCCUUCUUUACCAACACCACAUUCGAUAUCCACUCAGGGUAACUGACUUCCCGAAUAAACCCUGCUCUCAAGAGCUUCUCCACCUCGCUAUUUAUAGCCUCAUACCUCUCCUGGGUGAAGCACCUUCUCUUCUGCCUUACUGCCCGAGCACCUUUCUUUAUUGCCAGCUUAUGACAUGCUACCUCAGGGUCAAUCCCUGGCAUGUCUUCAUGUGUCCAAGCAAACACAUCAGCAUGAGCCUGUAAGCAUUUCACCAAUUCCUGCUUUUGCUCUCCCUUAAGUCUCGACCCGAUUCUGAUCGUCUUUCCCGGGUUCUCUGGUCCCAGGCUUACUGUUUCCAGAUCCUCUACAGGUUCUUGUCUGCCAUUCUUGUUUUCCACUCGGGUGUCGAGGGAUGUUAUCUGCAUUGCUUCCCUUGCUGCCGAGGAGUAACAGCUUCUUGCGAUCCUCUGGUCUCCUCGUACCACCCCCACUACCCCAUUCACCCGGUACUUCAGAGCCAGAUAAUGGUUGGACAUCACCGCUUUGCUCAUCCUUAAAAAUGGCCGACCUAGGAUCAUCUGGUAAGGACCUUCCUCAUCCACCACGACAAAGUCUAGUAUCAUUGUUCUUUCUGUCGGGGAGCUCCCAAUUGUGAUAGGCAGCUCGACCACGCCCAGUGGGACCAGCUUCCCUCCUCCGAACCCCUUCAAGGAGGUAUUGGUGUAUUCCAACUUCCGGUCGGCUAUUCCCAUCUCUUCCAGGGUUGACUUAAAUAGGACAUCAACUGAGCUCCCUGUAUCAAUCAGUAUCCGGUCAAACUUCUUGCUAGCGAUAGUAGCCUUGAUGACUAAAGCAUCCUCGUGGGGGUAUAGAAUAUCUUCCUCAUCCUUAUCCGUCCACAUGAUCGGCACUUGCCUGACCCUUGCUCGUUUGGCUGCUGGGGUGUUGAAGAGUACCUCUUUACUGGUCAUGGCGUACCUAGCAUAAUUUUUUCUCGAUCUGUUGGAAUCUCCGGCCAAUGUUGGGCCCCCAGCUAUCACCCUUACUGCGGGUUGCUCGCGCCUCAAGUUUCUACCACUCUGCUCCCCUUCAUCUGUUGUGGCCACCAUCGGGAAAGUCCCAUCCAUAAACUCGUCCAGGUACCGAUUUCUCACCAAAUCUUCGACCUGGGUCUUGAGAUCUCUACACUCUGCUGUGGUAUGGCCAUGGGUGCCAUGGAACUUGCAAUAACGUCCUCUAUCCCUCCUGUUAGGUGGCUUUGUUAUUGGUGUAGGGAGGUGGAGCAGCCCUCGAUCCUUUAUGGCCUCGUACACCUCAUCCAGGGACAUCUUCAAGGAAGUGUACCGCCCAUAGUCCUGGUUCUAGUCGAUCAGGUGCACUGCUCUUUCUCUGUUCGCCCCGCUCUGAGUUGGGGGCGGGGGAAGUACUUCUGGUCUGCUCGUUCUGCUACCGUGGGAAUGUUGAUGAAGACCACCAGAUGCCGAAUCAUGCCUUCUCCAAGGCUCCCUAGCUGGGGAACGAGGAGGUUGCGCCCCGCUGCGCUGAUACUGCGGUGGCCUCUGAUGAGGCUGGUAAGCAGUUACCCGGCCUCCUGCUCCACUACCGGAGGCCUGGUGAUCCCUCCUCCUGAUCGGCCCAUUCCCCGGUAAUGCUUUCUUCUCUUUCCUCCCCAACCCUUCUAACUGGUCUGUCUUAAUCCGUGCAGCCUUCUCCUCUUCAAUCUCGAUGUCUCUCUUAGCCUGUUCGUAUGCGGCUGCAUACGUUUGAAUAGCCGGGCUUCUCAGAUUGUACCACAGCCUUCCUAUCUUCACCCCUUCUUUCAAUCCCCUUAACGCCUGAGGGUGGUUGAAGGCUCCCAAGUCGAGGACAGCCCGAUGAAACCUCUUGAUGAAUUCCCGAAGGGUUUCUUGCUCCCCUGUUUCAUGCUUUUCAGCUCCAUCAUGUCAUCUUCCGGUGCCAUUGCCCCACUAAACUGCUCUGCGAAUUCCUAGCACAUCUGUUCGAAGGUUUUAAUGCUGCCCCGAGGAAGUUUCCUGUACCAUUCUCGUGCACGUCCCUCAAGGGAUAGUGGGAACACCCUGCACCUUUGGGAUUGAGAUAAUCCUUGCACCCCAGUUAUGUCGUUGAAGCGCUCUAUGUGCACCAGCGGAUCAGUUCUUCCCGAGUAUCUGAGGUCUGGGAGGCGGAAAUCUCUCGGAAUAACUGUCCUCAUGAUCUCUGUUGCGAGCGGUGAUUCUCCGUCCAGCAUUAUCCUCCAACCAGGGGCUCUGUUCCUUCCUUGCAUGACGUCAAUUAUCUGCGCUAGUCUGCGCACUUCCUCCUCCAGCUGCCCUGCACGACCAGGGUCACGUGCUGCAACUUGAUCCCGCUCUUGCUCUGCAUCAUGCAAGUGUUGCCGCAAUUCUGUUUCCUCUGCAUUCACCACCCCGUCAUCCUCGUUACAAGUCUGUCUUGCCGGGGACUGUUCUCUUUCUCUAUGAAAUUCUCCCCGCAGAGGUACGUUACCUCUCUCACCGCAAAAUCUCCCUGUGGUUUGACUUAUCCCCGCACUAUCGGGACCUGGUGCCAUUCCACCGCCUCUCACCCCUCCCUCUUGGGUUACCCUUCGCUCGCUCCGCAGCUCAUGCAGGAUGGUUGUCAAGGUCUCCAUCUGCUUUUUCAUCCGUUCCAUCCGGUCGAACAUGACUUUUUUCCGUGCUUCACUGACUAUCUCCCUCAGCGUCACGGAAUCGUUAAGCCUCAUAUCACCCCCUUGUGCACUACUUCCUCCUGUCUCCAUUGCUUUUCACUUGCUUCACCCCUCUUCUUGCUAUCAAAAGAAGCUUUUUGCUCUGUUCCCCACAGACGGCGCCAAAAUGUUGAUGCGAGAUUUCGGUUCUCCUCGUUCUACGAUCAGGAUCUCUGCUCGAUCAACUUCACCACGACCAGGAGGUCUCCUCGUGAGGCUUUUUUUUUUCAGAUGUCCCUGCACACACGGACAAGUCAGAGUACGCCGGUUGUUUUCCCGGUGCAAACCCUCCGACGCUUAAGUCAGAUAUCAAGGUUCGGGGAACGUUUGCCACCGAUCUUAUGGCUUUUUCAUGGUUUUUUCUUUUAUCUCAAAAAUGCUAACCCUUUUACCUUCGUUGGCUACCUUUUUAUAGGCUUCCUGAAUCCCCGUUUUCCGCUUUUUCCGAGACGGUAUGGGACUCCGACUGCUGCGUUAUGGGCAAGCGUGGGAUCUUGCGUGUUACGCCACGGUUCAGGGGAAAGCGUGGCGGUCGUGGUUCUGUGAGAUCUUGCGUGUUACGCCACGGUUCAGGGGAAAGCGUGGCUGUCGUGGUUCUGUGAGAUCUUGCGUGUUACGCCACGGUUCAGGGGAAAGCGUGGCUGUCGUGCCUAGAUUCUCGGGCUGGAGAGCAUGUCCUGCCAACUGCCGUCGACCGGGUCUCCUCGCCUCUCGGCCUCUAGCCGGAAUGGCCUUAUGCCUCUUACAGGAAAUUGGCCUCGCGGAUGACGUGCUCGUGGACGAGCCGGAUAUUUCUGCUCCUGUUCUUCCGCGCACCAGGCCUUUACGGAACACACCUGUUCACAGAACUCUGCCAUAAGAUAUCUGCUCACCGUGCCUGGUCUCGUCGACGUCUUUAUCCCAAACAGUAUUUCUCCCAAACAAUCACUAUAACUAAUCGCAAAGUAGGUGGGAAGAAACUAGGUAAAUGGACUGUCUGAACCUUUUUUGCUUUCGCUGUUUGACGAAGUCUCAGCCACAAGUGAUAUUCUCUACAAAAAGAAAAAUGUAUUACAAUAUUACUCAAGAGUACAAAGCACUUAAAAUUCUUUUACAUUAGACUAUAUAAUACUGUCAACACAUUGGCCUAACUCACCUCACCAUGGAUAAUCUUUUAGGACAUAAAGACAAUAAAUUCCUCCUACGUAGCCAAUUCAUCUUUGGUUGAACAAUAAUUUCACUACAAAACAUUUUAAUGACUGCAAAACUAUAAUAUUACACAUCACAAAUUACUCCUAGAAGAAAAAUAGUUUACCAACAAUUACAACAAAUGAUUGUCAUUAUAUAUCAUUUCAUUUGAAAUGACUUAUUCAUAUCCAGUCAACAUUUCGUUACCUAUUACUAGAUAAUUAUUAUGAAAACUAUACCACCCAUUAUCAUACCUUCCAUCAAGGUGUUCAUUAAUUAUAUAUCCAAUCAACUUCCACUCAUCUUCUAUAGCAGGAAACGUCAAAACAUGGGGACCUACUCUGAAAUGGCCAUAAUGACACCAAGGCCUUUUUUGUUCUGUUACUUCUCUAUUGGUCAUCUCAACAAGCAACUCCACAACCUCCUUUAAAGGAUUAUUCACCGAAGAUGAAACAACUGCAUUGUCUUUGCUCAUCAUAUCCUGCAUCAUGCAUCGAAACAUCCAAAUAAUCAAAAAAACAUAAAUGACAUAUUCAACUAUAUAAUAAUUUAUAUUAUGUCAACAUAACCAUAUAUUACAGUACCUCUUUUUUGUGAUAGCACUGUGGAUUGACCUCAAAAGAUGCUUGUAAUUGUAAUCCUAAAUGGCACAAAACAUCCUCAUUAUUUUUCUUCACUGUAGGAUUUCUUGCGUUGCAUUUUCGUCUCUUGCAUUUUCAUCCAAAACUAUCUGACUUUUCCUUCGCCCCAAUUGUCAAUGUUCAAUGGCAAUUGUUCAACUUUUAGGCCAUUGGAUUCAACUAUUUCAUUGACUUCUUCAUUUUCACUUUCCAUGCCUCUAUGUUCACCUAAUCCACCUCUCACGACCUUUAAGUUUCGAACAAGGUUUUGGUCAUAUACAUUACAACAGUCAGUUCGGAACAUAUCCUAUGACCUUUAGUCCACGCUUUGUGCAUUUCAAAUACUGUCUCCACUCUCUAUUUAAAAGUUUAUUAUUUCCUCCUUUCUCCAAAUAUCUUUUACGACCACCAUU
rnacentral:lncRNA from 1 species